AUUAAAAAUAAAUGAUAUACAAUUUAAUAAAUAGAAAAAUACAACAUAAAAAAAUACAAAGAAAAUAAGUUGUGUCUUUGAAUUUCACAUAUUACAAGAGCUUAUAUUGAUCUAUACAAAGCAAUGAUAUUCUAUUAAAUAUGCAAUUUAUCAAAUUCAUCCUCAACAAAGGCAUCUAAGUAAAAAUUAUCUCCAAUCAAACUACCGUUUCACAAACCUCCACACAUCUCAAACGCUACACAUGUAUGAUUCAACUGGCAUUAACCUGACAUAACGACAAUGUUCCAAAAUCCACAAAUCCAUGCCAUCACGACGAGAGAAUUUACGAUAAUGACCCAAAGAUGAACCCAUCUCUGUAAAUUUUAGGAGACGGAAAUACAUUUACUUUAAAAAAAGUAAAUUAUUUUAGUAAUCCCAACAGCCAAGGGGCAAGCACAGGUCAACCAAAGCCUGAAUAGCCUUCCACUAAUGCAAGCGUCACACAAAUUCCUAAAACAUUCCACUCCAAUUGUCCGAAACACCUGCGUAGUAAUACUGUGUUCAUUGCACAAUUCGAUUUACGUCAUACUUCGACUUUGAGGCACCCAAGGGAAACCUACACAAAUACAGAUUAGAUUUGAAAGAUAAAUGACAAACAUUUUAAAGGUACACUACACCCAACCACCCGAUAAAUGUUAGUACAACUCAUACAAUAUUUGUCAGUGAAACGUACAGCCGAAAUUCAUUCCACAACACAAAAAUCGAAUUCGCACCGCUACUCUCAGCGACUCAGCCAAACGUGACCAUUCCUAACUUACCAACACCACACAGCAAAUCCUCAGUAAAACACAACAGACCACCAGCGCGGUCUUUCAACUCCGAGCUUCAAGGCAGCCAUAUCAGAACAUCACAAGGCCGGCUGCAAACGAGACAACACUAAGAAAUGGAACAACCCACACCAAAAUCCAGCAGAAAUAGUGGUCAUCAGGGUAGAGAAUUGCUUACUACCUCCUAAACAACAAAAUAAGACCAAGUACACGUCCGCAAUCCAGGAGAGUAUCGCAAAACCAAAAACUACCGCAAAACACAACCCCCAGAAAUCAAAGCUUCUUUCUUAACUUCAGAUCUACUGCAACUGAUCAAGCUCAACAAUGUCUGCACCACAUAUCACUUCCACCUCCUCCGUCUCCUACUCUCCAUUACCCAUCCCCCCUUCCACCCUCCAUUCCAAUCAUCACCAUCCACAUCCACAACUCUCUGCACGCCAAAAUGUAAUUCUCCAAUAAAUAUAACCAUAGCACCACCUCGUCCCUAAAUCUGUUCAGAAUCUAGUGAUUACCGUAUCUCUCUCCAUGGUGCACAUCUUAACCAUGUAGUCUCCACUACUUUACUACACAACAGAGUUCUGAAAAAAUCAAGUGGUAUCGGACAUUCCAAUUCCUACGCAACCAAAAUAAACACAGAAGACCGCCUCCUACCCACUGCUUCCUCUAACUCUCGGCCCUCCCCCUCCUCCCCUACCCCUUCUCCUACACCACACCUACUGGCAGGUCACUCCAUUCCCAUCCGACCACUCGAUCGGCUCCUCGCCGCCUGUGGCUCCACAUUUCUGGACCAUGGUCAUGCAGCCAAAAUCCUGCCGCCUUUACUUUAACACUAGGUCGACACGCCUGCGCCCAUCCCAACACAAUCCCAUCGUCAGCCCCGCAACACAAAUCCCGCCACAAAUCACCCUCCCACCACCACUUCCUUCACGCAUCGCACGCACCUACUACCCGCCCCACAUCUCUACCCAUCAUGCGCUACCUCGACACCGCUCUUACCACUACUCUCCACCAUCUAAGCACCCCCUCCCCUCCCCCCGCACCCUCCGACCCCCCAUCAACAUCCAUGCUGGUAAUAUUUGCGANNNNNNNNNNNNNNNNNNNNNNNNNNNNNNNNNNNNNNNNNNNNNNNNNNNNNNNNNNNNNNNNNNNNNNNNNNNNNNNNNNNNNNNNNNNNNNNNNNNNCGCCUCGCCCCACCGGCGUCGGCCCGUACCGGCUGUCCCCGCGCCCCCCGUAUCCGCUCCCUCCUCCCGGACUCCCACCCCCGUAUCCUCCCUGGCUGUACCCCGAUCCGUAGUUGCCCCCGCCGCGACCGCCUCCGCCGAACCCCCCGCCAGCCCGCCCCGACCCCGCCGACAGCUCCUUCGGAAUCGCCUUCUUCACCUCCACCAUCUUGUCGUUCAGCUCGUGGAACGACUUCUGGAUCACGUUCUCAACUGCAUCCUCAGAAUCAAAAGUGAUGAAGCCAAACCCCCGAGGCCUUUGCGUAUUGUGGUCAUACAUAACAACCACGUCUGUAAUAGUACCAAACUGCUCGAAAUACUUUUUGAAGUCAUCCUCUGUAACUGUCGAGGCUAAGCCCCCCACAAAUAUCUUCUUUGUCCUAGUGUGGGAUGUUGCAGGCCCUUGGCCACCCACGCUGUUGCUCCUAGGUAUACUCUGCUGUUCGUCUCUCGGCACAGCUUUUUUCGCUUCCACCUAGAAUGGGAAAAAAAAAUAUUUAACAAAGACACGCUACACAAAGUUAUACAACUGCCACACAACCUCAUGCCACCAACCACCAUCACCACACGCACUCCCGCAUGCCACCCCCCUCCCAUGCAUUCAACUCCACCUCGAUCCCCCUUCGCCCGACACCUACCGCCCCCCUCCCUCCCUCCCACCCUCGCGCCCUACCGCACUGACCUCACCACGCCACCGGCCCUCCCCUCCCCUCCCCGAGUCCAAGACAGAGCGCUUACCGUUCUUCCGUCGAUGGUGUGCUUCUCGCCGGCCACCCGAUCGGCCACGCUCGGGUCCGCGAAUAUCACGAACCCGAACCCCCGCGCGCGCCCCGUCGCGCGGUCCUUCAUGAUCACCGUCUCCGCCACCUCGCCAUAGCUCUUGAAGUAAUCGCGCAGCUUCUCCUCCGUCGUCUCCCAAGAGAUGCCGCCGAUGAACAGCUUGCCCUGAUCGGAGUCCAUGGCCGCCGACCCGUCCUGGUCCGCCAGACUUCCCGCCCUCCUAACUCCCGCUGAAAUGAUCAGAAAAAUCGGACUCCACAAAACCCAUAUGCCCCUCGCAUACACAGAGGCUCAAAUACCCUUACGACAAGAUCAAAACAAGAGCAGCGGCAUCGACAAUUCCCAUGCAACGCGCGAACCAACAGGCCGCGGCGUAGCAGGGGAGGGAGGGAGCGGACGCGAGAGCCUAGGGUUAGCAGGAGACUGGAGCUCCGAGGAGCACUGAUUCAAAGACGGGGAGAGGGAGGGGCAGCCAAGAAGGCAAGAGUCGCGACGGGAAGGGAAGGGGAGGGAAGGCCAGUCCCCCCCCCCCUGGCUUGGGUUUCGCGAACGUCGGGAUCGCAUGAAGAUUUGGGCAGGUUCAUUCAUUGAUUACCAUUUCCUCUUACGGGGCAUUCACGCAAUUCUUUGUGCUCUCGGGGCAAUUGUGAAGCACAAUCGCCCUUGAUCACGAAUUUCGCUCUGUCUGUCUAGUUAUGUUCUUUCUGGUAUUCCUUUUUGGGUGUUGGAGAGUAACGGCAUUUUGCAAAAAAAUUCAACAUUCAUAACAUUUCAUGGAACCAUUGUGGGUUUGCUUUUAUUAUAACUAGAGGAAUAAUAUCUUUAUUUCUUUGUCUACCAAGCUUAUUAAAUUACAAAGGAAUCACUAUAUAUAUAUAUAUAUAUAUAUAUCUCCAUUAAUUUUAUGUAUCAAAUAAAUUUAAACAAAGUAUUUUUGUAAAAAAUUAUACAAUUUUCUACAAUAUAGAUGGUAUGAUCAUUAAUGGAUUUUUUUCUUUAAAGAUUACAAAUGUUCAAAUUACAUUUUAAUUUUAAAAAAUAAUAUGUAUAUUAAAAUUAAGAUUUUUUAUUUUUAUUUUUUUAAUAUAUAUUUAAGUCUUUUAUAUUAUUUUCAUUAUGAAAAUAUAUAUUAAAUAUCAACAUAUGUUAUUAAAUUUUUGUAAAGAAGAAAUUUAAUAUAGUCAUUUUUGUAUAAAUGUCACAAACAUACAUAUUUAUUCUAAUAAUUACUUAUAUGAUUAAGUAGAAAUAAGUAAAUAUAGAUUAAUUUCAUAAUAUCUUCUAGAAAAGCUUCUUAGAAGCAUCAUAGAUAUGGUUUUGACUUUACAUGUGUUUGUAGUUAAUAGGUAGGUUAGAAAUUUUGUCAACAAGUUAACCACAAGCUAUAUAUACUGGUAGCUUAUGAAACAAGCUUAUUAUAUGGCACACAUAUAGAAAACUUACUUUGUAAGACAUAUGUCUAGCAAAGUCAAUACACAUUGGAGGACUUAUAGAACAUCGUGACAUAACUCUUAGUUAGAUAGUAUAUGUGGAGGUAAGAGUGAAGUCUUGCUUUACUCAUGUCAAAGCCUUUUUAGUUCUUUGUCCUAUUUUUAGACUUUUUAAUCUACUUGUCUUUAGCAAUAGCCAUUCUAGUUCAAUAUAUUACCAUCUUUGAGUGAUUUCCUAGUCUUUUCAAGUAGUACAAGAAUGUAUUGAGAUUCUCUUUCUUUGAGGUUCAUAUUCUUGAUAAUUUGAUAAAAGUGUUAACUUAUUAUUCUUGUCUUGUUUUAGAAAUGAGUAGUUUAUCCGACUUUUAUUAUUGUAUUUAAAAAAUUGUACCUAUAAACAAACCGUUUAGUUUUUUAAUAUUGAUUUUUUUCUUAAAAAAAGUAAUUUUUUUUUAUGGAAUUUUUUAUUUGAUAUUAAAGGUUGCAGAUUACCUUCUUCUAAUUUAACUUUUUGAAUUUGUUUGAGUUAUCUAUAAAAGAAAAAGAUUAUAGAUACAACUAUCAAUAAAAUUGAGAAUAGAUGUGUAUCAUGGACAUAUAUAUUCAUUCUAAUAUUUACUUAUAUGAUUAAGUAAAAAUAGAUAAAAGUAGAAUUAUUUCAUAAUAUUUUUUAGAAAAAGCUUCGUAGAAGCUUAAUGGAUGUUAUUUUCACUUUACAUAGGUUUGUAGUUGAUUGAUAGGUUAGAAACUUGGUCAAUAAGUUAACCUCAUGUUGGUAGCUUCAAAAAUAAGCUAAUUAUGUGGUCCACAUAUAGAAAACUUACCUUGCAAGUUAAGAUACAUAUCUUGCAAAGUUAAUACAUUUUGGAGGUCUUGUAGGACAUUGCCACAUAGCUCUUAGUUAAGAAUAUGUAUGGAAGCAAAAAUAAAGCCUUCUUCACUCUUAUCAAUGCCUUUCUAGUCUUUAGUCUUGUUUCAAGACUUUCUAGUCUUUUUAUCUUUGGCAAUAACCAUUCUAAUUUAAUACUAUAUCAUCUUUGAAUGACUUUCUAAUUCUUUUGAGUGAUAUAAGAGUGUAUUUAAGAUUUCUUUAUUUGAGAUUCAUAUCCUUGAUAGUUUAGCAAGAAUUCUAACUCAUUAUUCUUAUUUUUUUAGAAGUGAGUGGAAUAUCUCACUUCUACUAUUGUAUAUUAAAGGUUGCAGAUUAUCCACCUAUAAAUAAACAAUUUGAUUUUUUAAUACUAAUUUUUUCCUUAAAAAGAGCAGAUUAUCUUUCUUUAUGGAAAUUUUCAUUUUAUAUUAGAGAUUGUAAAUUACCUUCUUCUAAUUUAAUUUUUUAGAUUUAUUAAAUUAUUUAAAAUAGAAGGAAAAAUUAUAAAUGUCAUACUUAGCAGAAGUGAGAAUAUAUUUACAAAUAUUAUACAUCUUCACAAAUUUGUCAAUAUUCUUAGCAUGAAAAUUUUACACAUCACUAGUGCCAACCAAAGAAACAUUAAUCCUAUAUCUAUAAAAGAAGUUCAAAGUCUACAAUAAGAAGUUGUAUAGUUGAAAAAAAUAAGUAAAUUGACCUCACAACCAAGUCUAGAAAGUUUUGUUUCUAUAAGUGCAAUAAAGUCAAGGAUUAGUAUGCUCGAAAAGUUUGAUGGAAUAAGAUCAAAAUUUCACGGAUUUUUGCAAUAAAUCAAGCUCUAUCUAAGGUUGCAUUUCUUCUAAUACCUUAAUGGAUUUAUUCAAGUUGGAUUUAUAGACUCAUUUUUAUUUGGAAGUGCUUUCUUUUGCUUUACACCUUUGAUGAAAAAAGAUUUACAACUCCUUUAUGAUUUCAAUUCAUUCCUAGAAAUGUUUAUCGCCACAUUCAAAGAGAAUAAUUGAGAAAGAGUAGUAGAGACCAAGCUCUUAUUUUUAUGAUAAGAAUAAUAAUUAGCCACUAUAUAUGCUAUUUAAUUCCAAAACCUUGCAUACAACAUGGAUUGGAAUAAUAAAGCCUUUAUUAAUUGAUUUUGAUAUAGAUUGAAGUAAAAUGUCAAAAUUUUGUUAUUAACAAUAUCAAAAAUAAAAUCUUUGGAACAAUUUAUUGCUCAAGCCAUUGCAUAUGACAAUCAAAUAUUUGAAGGGCAUUAAGAAUAAAGAUUUGGUUGGAGAGGAAUAAAUCAAGUACUAACAACAGCUCCUAAGUUUUUUGAAACUUAUUCAUUAAGGCCAAAAUCAAUACAAAUUGAUAAGAUACAUUUUAAAUCUCUUAUUAAACAAAAACAAGACUUGUAGUUGUCAAGAAGGUUUGUAGCUAUAUUAUCAAGCAUACUAUUCAAUAUUAUCAAAAAAAACAACACAAUCAUAAAAUAAAGAGUAUGGUUGCCAAAGAAGAUGAUGUAUCAAAAAAUAAGUUUUUCCAACUAUAAUAAAGACCAUGUGGUUAGAAUCUUACACAAUUGUUAAUAAAUAUCCUAUUCUCUAUUUAAAUUCCUCACUUUAUUUUAAAAUAAAAGUAUUUUUAGGACCAUAAAAUCACAAAGUCUUAACCUUAUUAGAUUUUAGAAUCUUAUCAUGUUCUAUAAAUAAAGACUUUGUCAAAAAAUAAGAUAUAUCUUUAAUUAAGAAAAUCAAACCUAUACAUCUAGAAAUAAUAGAUGGUCGUUCAUUAUCUUUUAGAAAUACUACACAUAAAAUUAUUCCUAUAAAAGUAGCAACUAGUAUUUAUAAUAGUUUAAUAAUAUUUAAUGUCAUUAAAUUUUAUUUUAAUCUAAUUAUUUUAAGAUUAUCAUGAUUAGAUAGGUAUAAUUCUUAGAUAGAUUAAAUUUUUUGGGAUCUUGAUUUUUUCCAAAGUUUAGUUCAAGGUUCUACUAGGCAAGUAAAAAUCCAUAAGAUCAUUGCAUCCAAAUCAUUAUUUCUGAGUGCAAGAACUUUUAUACAUGCUGCAAAAAAAGGUUCAACUUUUGUUAUAUAUACCACACCUAUUUUUGACGGAAAAAAGAUUUUAAGUAGCAUUCCAAGCCAAUAUCAAGAUUAUUAAGAUAUCUUUUAAAAAAAAAAUGUAAAUAUUUUUUCAAAGCAUUAUUCUUAUGACUGUUCUAUUGAUCUUCAAGAAUGAGCUUAACCACCAUUUGAACCAAUCUAUAGCCUAUCAUAGAAUAAAUUAGUUUUGUUUAAGGAAUAUAUUCAUAAAAAUUUGGCUAAGAACUUCAUAUGCUAUUCUAAAUCUCCAAUUAAGUCUUCUAUCUUAUUUAUGAAGAAAAAAGAUAGAUCUCAAUAAAUGUGCAUGGACUAUCAAGGACUCAACAAGAUUACUAUAAAAAAAAUCCUCUAUUCUUGAUUUUAAGACUUCUUAAUUAACUAAAUUAAGCAAAGAUUUAUACAAAAUAGAUUUAUAUGGGGCAUAUAAUCUUGUAUGUAUUAAAAAAAGAGAUAAAUAGAAAAUUAUAUUUUGAAUAGAAUGUCAUAUCUUUUGGAUUCACAAAUGCACUAGUGUCAAGGACAAGAACUCAAUGAAAGCUAAAGAGUAAGUGAGACUUUUCUCAAAAAGAAAUAGGACAAAAUAGAAAUAUGUAUAUUAAGAAAGAAACUGGAAUGGCUAUUGCCAAAAUACAAGAAAACUAGAGACCCUUGAAACUAGACUAGAAGCAAGAAAGGAGUUGACAAGAGUGAAGAGGGCUUCACUCUUGCCUCUAUAUAUACUAUCUAACUAGAAGCCACGUGGCGAUGUUCUAUAAGACCUCCAAUAUAUGUUGACUUUCUAGGCCACAUGCCUUUGCUUGCAAGGCAAGUUUUCUAUGGAUGGACGACGUAGUUAGCUUGUUCUUUAAGCUUCCAACAUGUGUGGCACAUGGCUAACUUGUUGACCAAGUUUCUAACCUAAAAGUCAACUAUAGACUCCUAUAAAGUCAAAGCAGAGUCUAUGAAGCUUCUAAGAAGCUUCUCUAGAAGAUAUUAUACAAUUAACCUACUUUUAUCUACUUUUACAUACUUUUAUCUAUUCAUAUAGGUAAUUAUAUGUAUGUCCGUGACAUUACCCCCCCUUCUAGGGACGAGUUCCACGAGGAGCGGUGAUUAUAUAUUGAGAAAAUCUAAUAUGCGACGAAUUGUAUUUGCUACAUACUCUGAUCUUUGUUCUCUUCGAAGAUAGUUGAUGGGUCCUCUUAGCCAUCGAUAGUGUCCCAUUCCAGGGCGAGAAGACCACCCUGUUAUUUGAUCACUGUUGAGGCCUUCAUAACUUCCUUCAAAUAAUACAUUUGAAACACCAUCAGGAGUCGUUUCUAUCUCCAAUAAAAUCACCAAACAUCGAAAAUCUCUUCCAAGGUCGUGAUACCAAACGCGUUGUAUCUCACCAUCUAUUCGAGGAAGAACAUGUCGUUCUUGAGGGUCUUCAUCUCGGUUGCGUCGUCUUGAAGGUUGUGACAAUCGCAAUGUCUCAUCCGGUAAGUCAGCAAACGAAGGUUCUUGAGUUGAAUCCGCUUGUUGUUGGCUCUCCAUCUAAUUAGCGUCACAAAAUGCAAAGAAGUUACAAACAAGGAUAGGAAAUUGAAUGUUAUCUUGCCUCAAUCUUGUCUCUUUUAUAAGAGAGGUUUUCAUCUUGGUUUUGAUGGAUGUCGUUGAUGAAAAACUUUGACUUUAGUUGAUGCAUUUGCUAGAUUCCUGGAUGGCUCCCAUGUGCGCUCACUAAUAUCAUAUCCGCACCAAUGAACAAGAUAUUCCAGCUUAUUUCGGCGUCGCCUUGAGUCUAAUAUCUCUUCCACCUCAAAUUCUUCAUUAUUAUCUACUUCUAUAGGAGGCGGUGGCAUUUGUCUUCUUCCUUGUAUAUCCACUGUCUUAUAUGGUUCAAGAAGAGACACGUGGAAUACAGGAUGGAUCUUCAUUGACUCCGGUAGAUGUAACCGAUAUGCAACUGGGUUGAUCUGUUCAGAAACAAAAAAGGGGCCAAGCCUACGAUAGUCCAAUUUGUCACAAGGUCGAGUGGUCUUGAUAUUGCGACGAAGUAGCCAUACCUUAUCACCCACGUUGAGUUGUGGUUGCUCUUUACGAUAUACAUCUGCAUUUAUCUUUUGUCGUUCUUGAGCUUUCUUCAACUGCGCCUUCAUUAUUGCAUGUAACUCUGACAACCGAUUUGCCAUAUCUUCUGCUGCAGGAUUAUCAACUUUUGAAAAAUCAAAAGUAUCAAGUCGUGGAUGAUAGCCAUAAUUGGCAAAGAAAGGUGUUUGUUGCGUGGAGGAAUGUACCGUAUUAUUAUAAGCAAACUCUGCCAAUGGCAGAAGGUUUGUCCAAUCAUCUUGUUGGUAGUUGAUGGUACACCUUAAAUAUUGCUCCAAGACUUGGUUUACGCGCUCUGUUUGUCCAUCAGUUUGAGGAUGGAAAGCUGAAGAUAGCUUUAUGUCCACUUUUAAAAUCUUGAAAAGAGUCCUCCAGAAUCUCGACACAAAUUGAGUUCCCCUAUCCGAUAUGAUAUCUUUAGGUAAUCCAUGAUAGCGAUAGAUAUUAUCAAUGAAAAGCUUAGCUGUUUCUUCACCUGUGAUAGAUUUUGUACAUGGCAUAAAAUGUGCCAUCUUGGUGAAACGAUCUACUAUCACAAAUAUAGAAUCAUAAGAUCUUGAGUUUGGAAGAUCUGUGAUGAAAUCCAUAGAAACAGAAGACCAUGGUUGUUCUGGUAUAGGUAAUGGCUGAAGAAGUCCGUAAGGUCGAUGUCGAGGAAUUUUUGAUCUUGAACAAAUAUCACAUGAUUGUACAAAGUCUUUGACUGACUUCCACAUUUGUGGCCACCAAAAAUCUCUUGAUAUGAGUUCCAGAGUCUUAUUAUAUCCAAAGUGCCCUGCUGCUGGAAAGUCAUGACGUGCUUGAAGAACACGCAAACGUGCUUUUCCUUCUGGAACAUAUAGGCGUCCUUCAAAAUAUAAUAGAUUAUUCUUGAACUCGAACUUAGAAGAAUCAUGAGACUUGGAAGAAUUAUUCUCGAUAUCAUGAACAAGAGGGUCUGAGGACAUACUGGACUGGAUUUGCUUGAGAAAAGUUGAAUCAACAGUCAAUGUUGAUUUCACUGCUCGGAGAUGAAAUUGCUCUGGUUUCAAGAGGACCGUUCUUUGUUGCUCAAAAGCUGCAUCUCCUUCUUUUGGUGCAAAAUAAGAACGUCUAGACAGGGCAUCAGACAAACCUUGUUGUUUUCCUGGCCGAUAAGUGAUAAUGAAGUCGAAUCUUGACAAAGACAUACUCCAACGAGCUUGACGACGAUUCAACACGGGUGCUGACAUGAAAUACUCGAGGUUCUUGUGAUCUGUAUACACAGUGAUUGGACUAGAAGCACCUUCUAAAUAAUGACGCCAUUCUUGAAAGGAAUCCACGAUUGCAAGAAGUUCUUUAUCGUGGAUCUCAUAAUUGAUCUCGGCUGCUGAGAAUUUUCUUGAAUGAAAAGCUAUCGGAUGAAGUUUGUCAUCUGUUCCCAUUUGUGAUAAAACUGCACCCAAGGCAAAAUCCGAUGCGUCUGUUUCCAUAAAAAAUACCUUGGAAAAGUCAACACGAUAUAAGACUGGUGCAGAGACAAACGAUGUCUUCAAGGCUUCAAAUGCUGCUUCCGCUUCUUGAUUCCAUUGGAAUUUAUCUUUACUAGUCAAGCGUGUAAGUGGAGCUGCAACUCGUGAGAAGUCUUUGAUGAAGAUCCGAUAGUAAUUGGCAAAUCCCAAGAAACAUUGGACAUCUCUUACAGUCUUUGGAAUCUUCCAAUCCAUGAUUGUUUGGACUUUCUUAGAAUCCAUCAUAAGACCAUCAUUUGAAAUGAUGUAUCCUAAAAAGUCAACUUGAGUAGUGUGAAAUACACACUUUUCCAUCUUGGCGUACAAUCCUGCAUCUCUGAGUUUUUGUAAUACUUGACGAACAUGUAUUUCAUGUUCUUCAACAUUCUUAGAAUAAAUCAGGAUAUCGUCUAGGUAGCAGACGACAAAAUUGUCUAAGAAUUCACGAAAUACAUCAUUCAUGAGAUGUUGAAAAGCAGCUGGUGCAUUCGUGAGUCCAAAAGGCAUGACAUUAUAUUCAAAAUGCCAGUACCUGGUUCGAAACGCAGUCUUCCAUUCAUCUCCUUCUUUGAUCCGUACUAGAUUAUAUGCUCCUCUUAGAUCUAUUUUUGUAUAGAUCUUAGCUUGAUUUAACUGGUCAAGGAGUCCUGAUAUCAAAGGUAAUGGAUACCUGUUCUUGAUUGUGAUCUUGUUGAGUCCUCGAUAGUCAACACACAUUCGUAAAGAUCCAUCUUUUUUCUUUACGAAUAAAAUUGGAGCUCCUGCUGGAGAUUUUGAAUGGCGUAUGAAAUUCUUCGCUAAAUUCUCGUCAAUAUAUGUCUUGAGUUCAGCCAACUCAUCUUGCGAUAAACUGUAAAUUGGUCCAAAUGGUGGCUGAGUUCCUUCCUUGAGAUCGAUUGAACAAUCGUAUGGGCGAUGCUCAGGAAGAAUAUCUGCAUUCUUUUUCUCAAAAACGUCUUGAUAAUCCUGAUAUUGACUUGGAAUGCCACUUGAAGUCUUUACGUUUUCAGAAAUAGGUGCAGCAUAAAUAGCAAAAGUUGAUCCUUCUUUUGCUGCGUGUAUAAAUGCUUUUGCACCUAUAGGUGCGAGUUUUACUAUACUAGACUCAUGGUUUUUUACUUGGUUAAUAGAACUGUUACUAAUGCUCUGAGGAAAAUCAAGUUUACGCGAAAUCCAAUCUAUUCGAGGAUUAUACUUUUCUAACCAUGAUAAGCCUAAAAUUACUGGAUUAGAGGGAGAUCUAAUUAUAUUAAAAAUUACGCAACUACUAUGACCAUUUAUUACUACAUCUACAGGAAGUGUUUCGUGAGUUACAUCUCCAGAAGACAACGGACGACCAUCUAUGACUUCUACGUGUACAGGUUUAGUUUUUUGUAUUAAUGAUAUUCUAUGACAUCUAGCAAAUUCUUCAUCUAAAAAACAAGAUGAGGCUCUUGAAUCUACCAAGGCAGAGGCUUUGUAAUUAUUAGGUCCUAAACGCACAUCUAUUAUAAAACAAGGAGAUGGUUCUGAGGAGAGGAUAGGACCUUCAUUAGAAGUUGUACAAGAUUCCAGCCGCACGGUCCCUAUUGUAGCUGGACGUACUCGUUUUCCGACAUACUGUCUUCUUUGACAGCCGUACUCCUCAUUUUGUAGUUACGUCGCUUCUUUGGACAAUGUUGAGCAGUGUGCUUAGGUUCUCCACUAUAUAAGCACAAUCCUUCUUGUCGACGACGAGACUUUUCUUGCUCAGUAAGAGGUUUGAAACGUACCGCAUCAAUUUGCAUAUCCUCUACUUCUGAAGGUAUGUGUUGAGGAGACGUCGGUGUUGCCAUUGAAUUGUAGUAACGUUGAGGCCCACUUGUGCGACUCUCGGAUCAAAAUUCAAAAAGUCGAUUGUCGCACUUCACAGCAAAGUCAAUUGCUUGACUCAAUGUUUGAGGAUCAGGUAAAUUAAGCAUCAAUUUCUUUACCUCAUAUUGUAAUCCGUAGAGAAAUUGACUCACAAGUGCGGCAUCAUCCCACUUGAUAUCAGUUGCAAGUUGUCGAAAUUGCGAAGCAUAUAAUGUUACUGAUCGAUUGCCUUGUCGCAAAAUACGGAUCUUGUUGGUUGCAACACGAAUUGCAUCAUGUUCUCCAAACAUGGAUCGAAACUCCGCCAAAAAAGCCUCCAGAUUAUCCAAUAUUGGAUCUCGUCGUUCAAGAAAAGAUGAAAACCAUGACAAUGCUGAACCUGAAAGAAGUGUACCAAUGAAUCUAACUUGUGACCCUAGAGUUGGAUAGCUCUGGGGUUGAAGUUCAAUCACUAGUUGGACCUGAUUGAUGAAUCCUCGAAACUUGGAUCUGGUACCAUCAAACUUCUCGGGCAAGGCAACUCUCGGUUCUCUAACACUCGAACGGUGUUCCAUUCUGGGAGAAGGGACAUGGUUUGGUGCAGAUGUUGAAGCAGCCCCAAUCAUCUCUAUAUCUUCACUUCCUACCAUUCUUGUUGCUCCUUGUGGUGGAAAAUUGAGUUGAUGCAUCGCAAGCAUUAACUCCCUCAAUUGUUCUUGCAUCUGUGCCAUUGCACUCUUCAUUUCAACAAGCUCUGCCAUAGUAGCACUUAGAAAAGAGAAGAUGUCUAAUAACGCUCAAAACAAAUAGAAGAGAGGAAUUGAUAACAAAGAAAAUACUAAGAACAAUAUCAGUUUAAAAGAGGGUAAUCCGCAACUUCUAAUGCGCUUAUGUCUUAUCAAAAAAAAGGGGUAAUCCACUCUUAAUCAAGAAAAGACAAAGCUCUGAUAUUGUAAGUGCACUCUUGUCAAUUUGUCAAGGACAAGAACUCGAUGAAAGCUAAAGAGUAAGUGAGACUUUUCUCAAAAAGAAAUAGGACAAAAUAGAAAUAUGUAUAUUAAGAAAGAAACUGGAAUGGCUAUUGCCAAAAUACAAGAAAACUAGAGACCCUUGAAACUAGACUAGAAGCAAGAAAGGAGUUGACAAGAGUGAAGAGGGCUUCACUCUUGCCUCUAUAUAUACUAUCUAACUAGAAGCCACGUGGCGAUGUUCUAUAAGACCUCCAAUAUAUGUUGACUUUCUAGGCCACAUGCCUUUGCUUGCAAGGCAAGUUUUCUAUGGAUGGACCACGUAGUUAGCUUGUUCUUUAAGCUUCCAACAUGUGUGGCACAUGGCUAACUUGUUGACCAAGUUUCUAACCUAAAAGUCAACUAUAGACUCCUAUAAAGUCAAAGCAGCGUCUAUGAAGCUUCUAAGAAGCUUCUCUAGAAGAUAUUACACAAUUAACCUACUUUUAUCUACUUUUACAUACUUUUAUCUAUUCAUAUAGGUAAUUAUAUGUAUGUCCGUGACAACUAGCUACUUUUCAACAUCUAACAAAUGAUGUCAUUUAUGAAUUCUUUGAUGAUUUUAUCAUCUAAUAUUAUAAUAACAUCUUAAUCUAAUCUAAAAACACAAAAGAGUAUGAAGUUUAUAUUUGUUGUUUAUUACAAAAACUAAAAGAUACAAGAUUAUAUGCAAAGAUGAAAAAGUGUGUAUUUUACACUACUUAAGUUGAUUUUUUUGGAUAUAUCAUUUCAAAUGAUGGUCUUAUGAUAGAUUCUAAGAUGAUUCAAACUAUCAUAGAUUAGAAGAUCUCAAAAAUAAUCAAAAAUGUACAAUAUUUUUUGAAAUUUGAAAAUUAUUAUCAAAUCUUCAUCAUGAACUUUUUUCAAGUUGUUGCUCCUCUUAUAUGCCUAACAUAUAAAGACAAAAUUGAAUGGAGGAAAGAAGUUGAAGGAUCUUUUGAAGCCUUAAAGACAUCAUUUAUUUUAGUAUUAAUUUUAUAUUGUGUCAACUUUUUAAAAGCAAUCUUUAUAGAAAUAAAUACAUCAAACUUUGUCAUGGAUGUUGCUUUCUCAUAAAGAGGAGCAAAUCACAAGCUCCAUCUAGUAGUUUUUUAUUCUAAGAAAUUUUCAAUAGCCAAGAUUAAUUUUGAAAUCCAUGACAAAGAGUUUUAUUGCAAUUUUGGAUUUAUUUCAAAAAUGGCAUCAUUAUCUAAAAUUUUCUUCUAGUCCAAUUAUUGUAUAUGAAGAUCACAAGAAUCUUGAAUAUUUUAUGUCAACACAUGUUUUGAAUUAUCACAAAGAUUGUUGGAGCAUGUCUUUAUCAAAAUUUGAUUUUAAGAUUACUUAUCAAUCCAAAAAAAUAAAAAUGUUUGUCAAUGGCCCUUUAUAAACCUUCUUAUCUUACACUAAAAGAAGAAGAUACAACUUUUGAUCAACAAAGAAUAAUUCGCUUAAAACUAGAGCAUUUUCAUCUUUAAACAAUAUAAUCAAUAUUGACUAUUGAUUCAUCUUUUGUCAAACAAAUUCAAUUAAGUAUGUCUUUCAAUCCUCUUCUUCAUGAUAUCAAGAAUAAUUCUUUUAAUUCUCAAAAUACUUUCAAGUUUGAAUUUAAAAAUAAUCUAUUCUAUUUUAAAAAAUAAUUAUAUAUUCUAAAAAGCAAAGCACGAUUACAUAUAUUUUAAAUUUGUUAUAACUUUUUAAUAAUCAAAUAUUUUGGAUAUAAUAAAAUUUUAAAGCUAAUAUUAAGAGAUUUUUGGUGGCUUCAAAUGCAAAAGGAAAUUAAAGACUUUCUACAAUCAUGUUAUAUUUGUUCAGGAUAAAAAACUCCUUGUUAUUGACUUUAUGGACUUUUCUAGCCAUUACCUAUUCCACAACAAUCAAGGUCUUUUGUUUCAAUGAAUUUUAUUAAAAAUAUUUUAAUUUCAAGUUUGUAUGAUUUUAUAUUUAUUAAAGUAGAUCAUUUUACUAAAAUGUCACAUUUUAUACUAUGUAUAAAAUAUAUCACAUGUGAAAAAAAUAGCUAAGCUUUUUCUUAAUAAUAUCAAUUACUAUCAUGAAUUGUCUAAAGAUAUUGUAUUGAAUAAGACUCAAUUUGUAUCAAGAUUUAAGAAAAUUAUUUUAAAUAUUCUAAAGUUAGAUAUAAAGCUUUUUUUGACUUUUUAUUCUUAAAUUGAUAAAUAAAUAGAACAAGUGAAUGAAGUUCUAAAGUAAUAUUUGAAGUAUACCAUCAACUAUCAUCAAGAUGAUUGAACAACUCUUUUGCUAUUGGUGGAGUUUGUAUAUAAUAAUUCAAUAUAUUCUUCUAUUCAACAAAUACAUUCUUUUUUAAUUAUGGUUGUUAUCCAUGACUUGAUACUUUUGACUUUUCAAAAGUUAAUAAUCAUGCAACAAAAGAUUUAGUAAAUUAUUUGUCAAAGCUAUAUACAACAAUGAAGGCAAAAUUAACAAAAAGAUAAAAAUAAUAAAAGAUCAAUGUGGAUGCCUAUUGCAAGGAAAAACUACAAUUUAUUGUAGGUGAUAAGAUAUGACUACUUCAUUGCAUUAUCAAGACUAUUCAUCUUUGUAAUAAGUUGGACUAUUGUAGGCUUUGAUCUUUUUCUACUUAUAAAUAAGUCAAUCUUAUUCCUUAUCAAUUACAUCUACUGGAGUCUAUGAAGAUCUUAUCAUGGACAUAGGCAUGUAAGCCAAUAAUUACAUGUAUAAAUAGGUAUAAGUAAGUAAAAGUAGGUAAAAAUAAGUUAAUUCUAUAAUAUUUGGUAUAGAAGAUUCUUAGAAGCUUCAUACACAUUGCUUUGACUUUAUAGGUGUUUUUAAUUGACUUUUUGGGAUUAAAAACGUGGUCAAUAAGUUGGCCAUGUACCACACAUAUUGUUAGCUUGAAGACCAAGGUAACUAUGUGGCCCACACGUAGAAAAACUUGCCUUGUAAGUCAAGGCAUGUGUCCUACAAAGUCAACACAUAUUGAAGGUCCUGUAGAACAUUGCCACGUAGCCUUUAAUAAGAUAGUAUAUAUAAAGACAAGAGUGAAGCCUUCUUUACUCUUGUCAACUCUUUUCUUGCUUCUAGUCUAGUUUCAAGGGUCUCUAGUUUUCUUUUGGCAAUAGCUAUUCCAGUUUCUUUCUUAAUAUACAUAUUAAGUUAUUUCUAUUUUUUCAUCUUUCUUUGAGAGUAGUCUCACUUAUUUAUUUGACUUUAUCAUGUUUUUGUCCUUGACACAUCUAUUUCAUAUUCUAUAUAUAUAUUUUUUUAGCCAUAUAAAAUAAUGAACAUUUUAAAAUGAAGACAAAUGCUACCACGUCCUAUAAAAGUGGAUAUUAAUCAAGACUUCAAGGUGGAAGAAGAUUUAUAUUCAAGGUGAUGCCAAAAUAUAGUGUCUCAAAAUAUAUUAUUUUAAUGUUGACAUAUUUUAGAAAGAAUAGUAUAUUACAAAUGAAUUGUAGUGAAUAAUGACAUGUGGUUUGUAUAGCAAAUAAAGUAUUCUUUUAUAGCUAUCAAAUGAGCCCAAAUUAAAAAGAAUCCAUUAAAUAAUUAGAAAGCUAUGACCAAUCUAAUUUAGAAUACUAUUAAAAUAAUUUUUUGAAUGUAGGAUCUAAUUUUUGGAUUCUAUCAAUUACUCAAUAUUAUAAUAUUCUAUCAUUAUUAGAUUUACUAUAAAAAUAUUAUUAUUAAUCUAAUAACAUCAUUAAUGCUCACUAGCAGUUAUAAAAGUACCAUUCUUAAUCACAAUUUCUAGUAUGGACGUAUUUCAAAUUAUCACAUUUUAGUACCUUCUAAAAUCUUCUACAAUAUUUUAAAAAAUUCCAUAGGCUUUUGGAAGCCUCUUUAGACUUCUAAAAGCUUCUAUAGAUUUCUAAAAACUUCCAUAGAAAAUACCAUAGACUUUUAUAACCUUCAUUAUAGUAUAAAUAGAAGUUUUUUGAACCACUUUUGCUAUUAAUAUUAUUCUUUGUCUUUAAUCUUGAAAUAUUUCUUUAUCAAAUCCUUGAUAAUUCUUUAAAUAACUUUGAGAUAUAUUUUUUACUCUUUCCAAGACAACAUCACAUCUACACUUCUUUAUUCUCAAAAAUCUUAUGGCCAAAUUGCUUCUGAACUUAGCUGCUAUAAAGCUAUUAUCUCUAGGGUAGCAAAAAAGAUUACUUUUAAUUAGGCAGAUCAAAGAAAUUCACUGCAGUAGAUAAAAAGGCAAUUAUUUUCCAAAUCAACUCUUAAAAGGCUGAAAAUAUUAUUGAGGUUGCUAAAAAAUUUAACAAUAUUAUCAGUAAUCUCCUACCAAUUCAAACCAUUCAAAAUAUUCUUAAGAAAUGGAAUAUGAAAGUUGUUGUGAAAAAAAAAAAAAAAAUCCACUAUUAUUUACUUACUAUUGAAAAUAAUGCUUGGAUUUUGCUUUAAAAUACAAGGAAUGGACUAUGGAAAAUUGGAAGAAGAUUAUUUGAUUAGAUGAAAAAAAAUCAACAGAUUUUGAUCAGAUGGCAAAAAGUGGAUGUAGAAACAAAAGGGUCAAUUCUUACUUGACAAGAAGAUCCAAGAAACAAUUAAGCAUAGAAGUAGAAAUAUAAUAGAAUGAGAUUAUAUGAGAUGGAAUGGAAUUAAAAAGAUAGCAUAGGUUGAGUGAAAUAUGGAUGCCAAGCAAUUUGUAGAAAUUCUUGAAAAAGAAUCUGCUCCCUAAAAUUUAAGAAUCUCGCAUAUAUGAGGAAGAGGUAAAUUUUCAGCAAGAUAAUGACCUCAAGCAUAACUCAAAACUAACAAAAAAGUGGUUUGUUCAUCAUAUGAUUAAAUUAACAAAUUGACAUAUUCAAUCUCUUGAUCAUAAUUCCAUUGAACAUCUUUGGGAGCACCUCAAAUGCCUACUCAACAUUUGGAAGAUAAAAUCAAUGGAAGUUUGGAAAUUAUGAAAAAAAAAAUUGUAGAAUGAAAUAAUAUUGAAGCAAUUUUGUGCCAAAAGUUAAUAAAAAGUAUGUAUAGGAGGUUGGAAGUAGUUAUCAAGGCCAAAGUAGGUCUUACAAAGUAUUGAUAUAUAUUUGGAUACCACAUUCAAAAAAAUAUUUCAAUACUAUUCCAAAUUAGAUUGGUCAUAGUUUUACAAUUACCUAAUGGAUUUUUUUCAAUUUAUACUCAUUUGAUAGCUGUAAAAGAGUAUUUUAUUUCCUAUACAAAUCAUAUCUCAUUAUUUAUUACAACUCAUCUAUAAUACAUCAUUCUUUUUAAAAUAUGUCAACUUUGAAAUAAUUUUUUAAAUCAUUGUAGGUUAGAAUAUCUUGUUCAUUGGCAUGGAUAUGAUAUCAAUGAAUGCGCAUGGGAGCCAACAAGUUUUUUUGCAAAUGCAAAAAAAAAAAUUGAAGCUUUUUAUUAAUAAUAUCCAUUAAAAUCAAGAUUAAGAAUAAAAAAAAUUUAUUAUAAAAGAAACAAGAUUAAAAAAAUAUAGCAUUCUACUUUCUAUUCUUGUUUGUAAUUUUUGUACAUUUGUGAAAUUAAGAAAAUAGAGAAUCAAAAACCAAAAAAUUCAACUCAAGAGCUAUUAUUUAUUGACUUAUCAGAUGAGAUAUUGUAAUUGUUAUAACCUCCAAGAUGACAUAAUCAAGAUAACACAAUCAGAAUGAAGAUCUUUAAGAAUGAUACGUUUUUCUUUGAAUAGAUGGCAAGAUGUAACAUGUUUGGUAUUACAAUAUUAUAAGAGAUUCUUGAUGUUUGGUGGUUUUAUUAGAAAUAAGAAUGACUCUUAAUGGUAUUUUAAAUUUUUUAUUUGAAAAAAAUUACAAAGGCCUCAACAAUUUUCAAAUAAUAUGGUGGUCUUUUUUGCCUUGAUAUGAAAUACUAUCAAUGGUUGAAAAGACCUAUCAACCAUCUUCAAAGAGAACAAAGAUCACAGAAUGUGGUAAUCACAAUUUGUCACAUUUUGGAUUUCUUCAAUAUGUGAUAAUUGCUCCUUGUCGAUUUUAUUUCCAAAAAAAGAGAUAAUAUCAUAGACAUACAUAUUUAUUUAUAUGAUUAAAUAAAAGUUGAUAGAUAUAAAAUUAUUUCAUAAUAUGUUUUAAAAAAAAUUCCUAGAAGCUUUAUAAAUGUUGCUUUGAUUUUAUAUAUAUUUGUAAUUAAUUGGUAGGUUAGAAAAUUGUUCAAUAAAUUAACCAUAUCUUGAUAGCUUACAAAACAAGCUAAUUAUAUAGUGCACAUAUAAAAAACUUGCCUUGCAAGUUAAGAUAUGUGUCUUACAAAGUCAAUAUGUUUUGGAGGUCCUAUUAGGCAUUGCUACAUAACUCUUAUUUAAGAGCAUAUACAAAGGCAAGAGUGAAGUCUUCUUCAUUUUGAUUAAUGCCUUUCUUAUCUUUCAUCUUGUUUCAAAACUUUCUGAUUUUCUUGUCUUUGAUAAUAUUCAUUUUAGUUUAAUGUUAUAUCAUCUUUGAGUGAUUUUUUAAUUCUUUUGAGUGACAUAAGAGUGUAUUUAGGAUUUCUUUCUUUGAAUUUCAUGUCCUUGAUAAUUUGAAAUUGUUAUAGAUCUUCAAAAACUUGUCAAUAUUCUAAAAUUAGAAAUCUCAUAUAUUUUCAAUAUGAAUUAUGAAGUAUUAUUUUUACGCAUAUGGAACAAAUUAACAAUGAAGUUCAAAGUCUAUGCCAAGAAGAAAGAUCAAGCUUAUAACUAAAUCCAAUUUUUUUUUGCUACUACAAGUAUAAUAGAAGCAAUAAUAAAUAUGGUCAAGAAAUUUGAUGGAAAAAAAUCAAAGUUUUAAGGAAUUCUACAAAAAUAUAAAAUUCUAAGGUUGCAUCUUUUCUAAUAACUUGAUUGAUUUACUCAAAUUGGAUUCAUUAAAGUCUUUUUUUUUACAAAUGUUAUUGUAUUAUAUGAAGUCUAUUUAAUAAUUUACCAGAUACAUUGUUGUAGAAAAAAAAAAUAGAACUUACAACAAGAUGAUCCUAACAACUCUAAUAAAAUCCUUAAAAUAAUUUAAUUAAAUUAUAAAAAUAUUAACCAAUCUUUAAUUAAAUCCACAAAAAGUUUCAAGAACUUACAAAAGAAAUAUAAAAAAAUCAUAAAUUAAUCUUAAUAAAAUACAUACAAUAAAAAAAUCUUAAAAAAUAUCAAAAUAAUAAAUCUUAAUUGAAUUUUAAUUAAAUACUAAUGUAAUCUUCCAAAAUUUUAAUAAAAUUUUAGACUAAUUUCAACCAAAACUUUAAUGAAAUCCUAAAUUUUUAACAAAUCUUAAUCAAAUUUUAAACAAAUUUUAAUCAAAUCUUAAUCAAAUCUUAAUCAAAUCUUUAAAAAAUCCUAAUAAAAUCCUAAGUAAAUCUUAAAUUCUAAUCAUAGAUCAAAUUCUAAUAAAAUCAUAAUAAAUCCUAAAAAAAUCCUAAAUCUUAACUUCAGACCAAAUCCAUAUGAAAUCUUAAACUUUAAACAACUUAAGAAAAUUUCAAAUAAAUUUCAUUCGAUUAUUAUAGCUAAUUGAAACCUCAAUAAAUAUUAAUUGAACCAUAUAUCUUGACUAAAAUUUUACUUAUACUUCAACCAAUAAACAAUUAAGAAACAUAUAAAAUUUAAAAAGAAUCAAACUUAUCAAUUAUAAGAAAAGCUUCCAAAACUUCUUAGUUAUUGAUGGCCUUUCUUCUCCCACUUGAAUGCUGAUCUUUUAACAUUGAUUUUUCCUUAUUGAAUCAAUUUAUUUUUCCAAAUAUUGGAUUUUAUGUAUAUAUUCAAGUCUUAAGUGCUUUCACCAAAUUUUGCUUCAAUUUAAUCAGCUAAUAUUGAUAGAUAUUGAAAUCAUUUGCUAAUCCUAAAUCUCAUUUUUUAAAAACUAUAAUCCAUAAAAAUUAUUAUAUUCUUCAAUCUAAUAUCUUCAUUGACUUCAAACAUUUCACAUACAUUUACAACAAGUACAACAAAAAAAAUUCCAAUUUUUAUUAAUACACAUACUAUAAAACUCACAAAAUCUUAAAAUUUGUAAAUUUAUUUUACUUUUUAAAAUAUAAAUCUAUCAAGUACAUCAUUAACUUUGAAAAGCCCUCAAAAUAUCAAUAUUAAUUUUAAUAACAUGAAACCAACACUCAAACCUCUUCUCUCAAGUGUGCUUUCAAAGCUUAUUCUUUAAUUUGCAAAAAAAUGUGAAGUCAUUGUAGGUGCUCGAUUUUUUGCCUUGGAGUCUAAUUUUGACCUUGGUUAUCAAUUGAUCCUCUACAAGUAUCAAUUCUUAUCUUCUUAAGGUAAUUUUUUCUAAUAUCAACUUCUAAUUUUUUUUUAUAUAUGUCUAUAUUCUUGAUUUCUCUUAUCUAUCUUAUUUUGCCUUAUUUAUGGUUCUAUAAAAUAAAUAGAAAUCAUUUUUAUAAAAAAUAAUUCUAAUACUAAUAGAUUUUAUUACUUGCCUAUCAUUUAUCUAUAUUUUUACUAUAUAUUUUUAUUUAGGUUCUUCUAUAAUAAAAUAUUUUCCUUCUUCUUUCACUUUAUGGCCCUAUUAUUAUACAAUAGUGCUCUUUCUUCAUUUGUACCUUUGAUAGAAAAAGAUUCAUGGCUAUUUAUGAUCUGAAUUUAUUUUUAUAAGUAUUUAUGGCUAUAUUUAUAAAAAAAAUUUGAAAAAAGGUAGCAAAGUACAAGCUUGUAUCUCUACAAUAAAGAUCAUAUUUAGCCACUACAUAUAUUGUUGAAUUUCAAAAUCUUACUUAUGACGUGGAUUGGAAUGAUAAAGCCAUUAUUAAUCAAUUUUGAUAUAAAUUGAAAGAUGAUAUUAAAUAUUUAUUUUUGAUAAUACCAAUAAUAGAUUUAUUAGAGUAAAUUAUUACUCAAGUCAUUGUAUAUGAUAAUUAGUUUUUUAAAAGAUACUAAAAAUAAAUAUUUGAUUAAAGAUGUACAAAUUAAGCCAUAGAAAUGUUUUUAAAAUUUUUGAAAGCUUAUUUAUUAAGGCUAGAGUCUAUGCAAAUUGACAAGGUAAAUUUUAAACCUCUUACUGAGCAAGAAAAGAUUUGUCAUUGUUAAGAGAGUUUAUACUUAUAUUGUGUAGAAGCUAGGCACACUACUUAAUAUUUUCUAAAGAAGCAACGCAAUCACAAAAUAAAGAGCAUGGUUGCCAAAGAAAACAAUAUGUUGUAAAAUAAAUUUUUCUAGCUACAAUGAUGACCAUGCAACUGGAAUCAUGUACAACACUUAGUACAAGUCUUAUUCUUUCAUUAGAUCUCUCAUCUUUUUUUACAAUAGAUAUAUAUUUAGGACCAAAAAAUCACAAAUUCUUAGCUUUGUUAGAUUAAAGAGCCUUAUUAUGUUUUAUAGACAAAUAUUUUGUCAAAAAAUAAGAAAUAUUUUUAGUUAAAAAAAACCAAACUUGUAUAUGUAAAAGUAAUAGAUAAUUUCUUUUGUAGCUAUAAAAAAAGACUCAAUUUUUGUUAUAUAUGCCACACCUAUUAUUGUUGAAAAAAAGAUUUUAAAUAAUAUUUCAAGCCAAUAUCAAGAUUAUUAAGACAUUUUGAAAAGAAAAAUAUAGAUACUCUUUUUAAACAUUAUCCUUAUGAUUAUUUUAUUUAACUUCAAGAAAAAGCUCAACCACAAUUUAUACCAAUCUAUAACCUAUCAUAGAAUAAGUUGGAUGCACUCAAGGAGUAUAUUGAUGAGAAUUUGGCUAAGAAUUUCAUAUGCUAUUGUAUUCUAUGAAGUCUUGCUCAAGAAUGCAUCAGUCACCUAGCUAUAGAAGAUAAAAUCAAAAUUACUACAACAAAAUCUUAACUCUAAUAGAAUACUAAAUAAACUCUAAUUAAAUCUUACUAAUGUUAAACAAGAUUUGAUCAAAUUUAAAAGAAAAUUUAAAGUAAUUACAAUAGAAAUAAUAAGAAAUCUUAAUGGGAUUAAAAGAAAAUCCUCCAUAAACCUUAAAUUUUUUUUAAAGAAAUCCUAAAAAUAUUAGAAUAAUUACAAAUAUAUCUUAAAUAAAUCUCAAAAAAGUUCCAAUUUAAUCCUUGUUGAAAUCUUAAUGAACUUCAAUCAAAAUCUAAACAAAUCCUAAAUUCUAAACGAAAUUCUAGACAAAUCCUAAACACUAAAACAAAUUCUAAAAAAAUCCUAAAUCCUAAAUCAAAUCCUAGAAAAAUUCUAAACCAUAAACCAAACCUUAGAAAAAUCUUAAAUCCUAAAUCAAAUCCUAAACUAAAUCCUAAUUCUAAAGCAAAUCGUAACCAAACCUUAAUCAACUCAAUCUAAUUCUAUUACUGUUUAAAACCUUAAUAACUAUCAAUUGAGUUAUUGAUAUUGCUUAAAAAUUUACAUACUUCUCAAAAAUUAAAUUAGUAAUAAGUAUAUGAAAUUUGAAGAUAAUCACAUAUACCAAAGGGAAGAAAAAUCUUAAAAUUUUCUCGAGUAUUGGUUGGCCUCCUACUCCAAUCUAAAUGUUGAAAUUCCAGUGCCAAUAUCUCUCUUUUAAACCAAUUAAUUGUUCUCAAAUUUCACAUAUGUAUAACAAAUCAAGUCUAUUACUUUUAUAAAUAAAUUUUACUCCGAUUCAAGUAGUAGAUUGCUAAAGAUCUUAGAAACUCUAACUGCCUUUUAAAGUCCAAUUUUUGAGAUCUCAACCUACUUGAAAUUCAAUAACCUUCAAUUCAAUAAUUUUAUCAAGCUCAAACUUACAGCAUAUACUCUAGACAAUUAUUUUUAUAAGUCUUCAAAUUUUGAAUCAUAGAUCUAUUACCAAAUUCAUGAAAUUCUCUAAAUUAUUAUAUCCUUUUUUAUUUCAUAGAUUCUAUAGUCACCUAAAAGAAGUGUGACUUUACAAAGCUCUUACAAAAUCAUUACAUACUCAAAUCACUUAAAAUCAUGCCUAAAGAAACUUUUUUAAGUCUAUUCCUUAAUCCUACUUAUUGAUCUGCAAAAAAAUCCCCAAAUUACUAUAGGUACCUAAUUUUAUGCCUCAAGGUCUGAUUUCAAUCCAUAUUGAUAACUGGUCCUCUCCAAGUAUCAAAUUUUGCCCUUUUGAGUUAAUUAUUGCUAAAAUCAAUUCUUUACUUCCUUAUACUUAUGCUCAUAUUCUUUAUUUUUCUAAUCUACUUUGUUUUUUUUUUAUUUAUUUAUUUAUGAACUUACUAAGUAAAUAGAAGCUUACUUUGUAAAAAAGUAGCAUUUACAUCUUUAAUUUUACCUUCUUUUUGGACUAUUGUCUAUUUUUUAAGAUAAAUUGUUAUAAUAUUUGAAGUAAGAUCUUCUAUAAUAUAAUAAUUUUUUCACCCUUUUUACCUAUUAGUCAUAUUAUAUCAUGACAUUCACCCCCUAAACUUGUGCAUCUUCCAACAUGUGCCAAUGAUUCUUUAAUAUAUUAUUAAAGUAUUCUUUAUCAUGGUUAGAUUCUUGAUCUUCAAUUUUCUCUUCUUCUUCUAUCUUAUUGUCUUGUAAUGGAUUUUAUUCUUCGUCAAAAUUAAUAUUUUUAUCUCUUUGUUUAAAUAACUUGAUUAUCUUCUUUACUAUAGGUAUCUUUAUUUUUGUACCAUUAAGUUCUUAUAAAAAGUAUGUUCUAUUGUUGUAUACUUAUUUGACAACAUAAGGCCUAAACUAUCUUCUUGUAAAUUUUUUUAUCGUGCUAUAUUGGUUGUCCAAACUACUAUCAUAAACCAACAUCAAAUCAUCAUUUUGAAUUAGUUUUGGAUAUAAUUGAUGUUUUUUGUCAAAUCUUUCUUUGUUUUUCUCCUUUUCCUCUUUGAACUUCUUUAUAGCUUUCUCAAUGUCCUCAAAUUUUCUUUUAAGUUGUCAAGUUUGUAAUGCUAAUAAUUCUUUUUUUCUUAAACCAUCUUCUUGAGGUAAUAUAUUCUAUAUUGGCAUCAUUGAUUUUUGUCCAUACAUCAAUUCUGCUACCAUGUAUCAUAUAAUUGUACUAUGAGUUAUGUGAUUCGUCUAUAAUGCAAAUGAUAAUAACUUAGGCCAAUCACCUAUCUUGCCUUUGCAUACUUUAAUCAAUGCUUUAACAAUUGGAAAGUGUCCACAUUCACUGUUGUUAUUUUUUUUUAGAUUAUAUGUGGUUGUUACUACGACUUUAAUACCCAUCUUCUCAAAGAAUUCUCCUACUUUAUUUGCAUCUAAUUUCCUUCUAUCUAUAGUAAUUUUUCUAAUAUAAUCAUAUUGACAAAUAAUUUCCUCUAAUAUAAACCGAUAUACCUCUUCCAAAGGCUUUGUUCAAAAUGCUCUUCCCUCCACUUGAUUUAUCAAAUUCUCUUCAGUAAGUAUCAAAUAUUUCUUUUGUCCAAAUUCCAUUGGUAUUACAACUAAAUCAACUAUCAAUUUCUAGUGAAUUGCUAAUGGAUAUGUUGGAUGCAAUCCAUCUCAAUGACAAAUGUUUGAAUAUAUUUGACAAAUCUCACUAGAUCCUAUAAAAUCUGCCAUAUUUUUAUAUAUGCCCUUUCACCAAUAUUUUUCUUUUACCUUUGCAAAUAUUGCCCAAAUGCCUCAAUAUCCGGCCUAUCAACUUUCAUGAAAUUCUUUAAUGAUAUUUAGUUGAGUAUGAUAGCUACAUAUAAUCCAUUGUGGCACUCCGCUCCUUUGCUUUGGAUGCUUCUAUAAAAAUCCAUCUUUAAAAAAAUAUCUAUAAGCUUUCCUCCAAAUUCUUUUAAACUUAUAAUUUGCCAAAUCUUCUUGCUGCUUUAAUGUACUUAAGUACUUUUUAAUAUGCAACCAUUCACCAUCAUAUAACUCUUUUGAAAAUAAUUCAAGUAGUUUAAUUAAAUACAACUCAUUCCUUCUUGCACACAAAGUUGAAUAAAAGUCCGUGCCAAUAUUUUCUUCAUCAUAUCAUGCUCAUGACAACAUGUCUGCAAGCACAUUAUCUUUUUUAAAAAUAUGUUUGAAUUCUGGAUUCAUAGACUUUAUUUAUAUAAUCCAUCUUAACAUUGAUAUAUCUGAUGUAGAAUAAUUACUAAUCAUGCCUAAUAAGCAUAAACAAUCUAUUUCUAUAGCUAACAAUGUAUCAAUCAAGUAUUCUUUUUUAUUUUUCAUAGCCAUUACUAUACAUUAUAAUUUUUUUUUAACUUGUGCAUAUACCUUCUGCUUAGCAUUCAAAAUCUUUGCUUUAAAUCUUACUACAUAUUUAUUUCUUUGUUCAUCAUCUUGUCUAACUAUUCAACCUAUUUCAAUUAGACUCAUAUCAACUGUUAAUAUCACUGACCUUCGACAUUCAUAAUUUACUUUCUUCAAAGUUAGAGGUGAAGAAAGAAGUUCUUUCAAUUUUUUCAUAGUUUUUUUUUGUUUCCCUUUCUAAUGAAAUUUUUGAUUCUUUUGUAACAACUCAUCUAAUGGAUCUGCUACAUAUGCAAAAUGAGAUAUUCAUAUAUAAUAAAAAAUACAUGCUCCUAAAAACCUUCAAAUUUCCGUUGUGUUUAUGCAUUCUUUCAACUUUUUAAUAAUAUUAAUAUUUUUCAUACUUGGCUUGCGUCCAUAUCAUCCACACAUGUAUCCUACCACCAAAACUUUUUUUUAUCCCAAAUAUUGAUUUUGUCCCUGAUAAGAUUAAAUAAUUUUUUUCUAAUCUUGUCAAAAUCUUCUCAUAAUCAUCAAUAUGAUUUGCCACAAACUUCCUACAUCCUAUUGAAUCCAAUAUCUCAUCUUUUUUUUCUUCUUAACAUCCUUUAAUAGUACAUCAUCUAAAAAAUAAAUUAUUAUUUUUAAAAUAAAUUCUCUUAAUAUCUUAUAUAUUCUAUUCAUUAUGUGUGCCAUAGAAUUUGUAACCCCUUGAGGUAAUAUACACAUUCUGACUAAUCCUAAUGGUGUCUUUACAAUUGUUAAAUUCCUACUUUGCAUUGCUAAUUGAAAUUACUCAUAAUCUAAAUAAAGAUUACUUAUUAAAUAGAUAGCUCUUCUAGCAAAUGCUUCUACAAAUUCAUCCAUAAUUGGACUUGAAUCCAUAUUUCUAAUAGUCACUUUAUUCAUAAGUUGGAUGUCUUAUAUAAAUCUCAUUGUUUUAUUUUUCUUUGGCACUAUAAAUCAUCAAUUAAAAUAGGAUACCAUUGAUAGUUCUAAAAUCCUCAUUUUAAUUUUUUUAUUGAGUAAAUCUAUUAGCUUAGAUAAAUGUGCUCUUGGUACUAAAAUUAGUCACAAAUUUCAUAGUUCAUGAGGAAUAGUAAAAAAAACCAUAGGUGUUGCAAUACUUAGAUCGACAUAUCUAAUUUCAUGUGCCUCCAAUGCAGAAGCCUUUCUAUGUCGUCUAAGGAUAUCUUUAAAAUAUAUUUUUUCAAAUUUUGUCAAAAAUCCAUCAUAUCCAACAUUUAAUCCAUGUAAUGUAGUAUCCGUAAAUUCAUGCCCUAUCUUCCUACGAUCCUUUAAAUUUAGUUGUGUAGAUGCUCCAUUUAUCCUUUCUUCAUAAUCUGGUAGUAGUGGCAAAGUCAUUGGUUUGACAUUUUUUGCGAUUGAUUAUACUUAAUUUCAACAUAUUGUUGUGACGUAAUAUGACUAUAUAGAGAAAUUAUAAUCAAAAUUAAAUUUUUAAUUAAUAUGUAAUUAUCUUAGUUCAAUUAUAAUUUUAGGUGUAUAAACAUGGCUUUCAUAAAAGCCUCUUAGGUUAUUUUCUUAUCUUAAUAGUUAAUAAGUUGAAAGUUGGUUAGUAAUUUUACCUUCUAGAUUGUAGAGACACUUCUACUACCUUAAAAAGCCCAUAAAUUGAUAAAAUCAGGUUAAAAGAGGUAAAUAAUUAAUAUAGUUGGUACUAGGAUUAAGUUGAAAGUAGGGUUGGACUAAAAAAUCUUUAGGAUAGGUUAAAUUGAUACCCGGGGGUCGGCCAUUUGUGAGACAAGGUUGAAAUCAGACCUCUCACCACAAAAAUGACGGCCUAGGGCAAAAUAAGGAUUCACUCAAAGAUCGAAGGAUAGUAUUUGAGAGCUAGCUUGAAGUUCUUUCUAGAGACAUAAGGAUUUUUUUUGGAAGGUUUUUGAAAAUUGAGAAAUUGUUCAAAGUCAGGGUUUGUAUUGGUGAUUUGGGUUUUAUAGAAUAUAACUAGGGAUAGCAAUUUUGGCUAGUUCAUGUAAUUAGUCUCACAUCUAUGGUUGAAAAUUUGGUACUAUUUGGAUUAUUAGGUGUGCUAAGUGUAUACAAAAUUUUGUGAUAAUCUAAUGGCGUGCUUUAGAGAUAUCUAGUUUUUAGUGUAAGAGGGUUUUGGAAGUUGGCAGUUUAAGGUUGGGUAGGAUUUUUGUGAUAUAUGGAGAUCAAUGAAAUGGAUUAAGGUGAAAUUUUGCAUGGUAUUGAAGGACUUGAAGAUCAAAUUGCACACCAAUUUUGAGUCAAAGUUAAUGGUUGGAAAGGGAGAAAUCACUACUGGGAUUUCUACUUCACUUUUUAAGUUGGUGGCCAAGUGACAUCAGUGCAAAUUUCGGAGGUUUUCUCACAAUUUAUAAGUUGGAUUGGGCUAAAAAUUCUUGAGCAUAUAGAAGACUUACAUUGACUAUUGCAUGCAAAAUUCCACAUCAAGUGGACGGUCGGAUUGGAUGUUAUAGCUUAUGAAAGCUCACUAAUUAUAGUUGGGGCUUAUAAGAAAAAUCUAAAUUACUUAAAUAUGAAAGUAACAAGAUAAUUGGGAUUUAUGUAUGAUUAAGGCUAAUAAGAAGAGUAUUUUUAGCACUUUUGAAUUGAAAUUCAAAUUAUAUUCUUCUUGUAUGGAUGAAACCUAUUAGGAUUCUUGAAUUCUUGUGAAACACAACCUCACCUUCCACAGUUAGGUGCCUGAUGCAUUCCCAAGGAAGACAACACAUAAUAUGAUAAUAUACCUCUUGGCAAUUUAAAUUUUCUAUAAAUCUAUAGAUUUCAUCAUAAAAUUCUUUAGAACAUACAUUAAUACAUUUAUUCUCUCCUUGCAAUCUAUCUUGCGACAAAUAAUUUAAUUUUCCCAAGAUAUCUGCAAAUGCCACUUCUUCAAAUGUUCCUAAAAUAAAUUCAUUUUCAAUCAAUUCUCCAUUUUUUUUUUCCAAUUUUUGCUCAAUAUUUUUAACAUAUUGUUUAUCCAUCUUCUUCAUCUUAUCAAUAUUCUUAAAAGAUAAUACACAAUUUGGUGUCAACUCAAUCAGCCUAGUAAAUAAUAUUUUCUUUUUAUACUUAGAGGGAGCAUCUUUUUUCUUAACCCAUUGCAAUCUUGUUUUAUAAUGGUGUGGUGAAAAUCCCUCACAUGUUCACCUCUAAAUUCUCUAGUAACCUUUGGCAAAGGUUGCUCUCUCAAACUCCCACAAUUUUUGUCAUGAUUAGCACAUACUGUCCAAAAUUGCAUCAUUUUUGUUCUAUCUUGAUUCCAAGCAUAUGUCAAUCUAUUGUCCUUAAUCUUUGUUUCCAUGCAAGUAGCCGUAAUAUAAGGUUUUUUUAGAAUGAUAGGAUAAGUAGACAUAUCUUGCACAAAGAAGUUUUUCUCAUCACUAAUAUCUCCUAUUAUAACCUAUUAUAUUGAGAAAAGACAUCCUUCUAGAGUGGAUCUCACUGAAAACUUAAGACAUAUGUGCCCUAAGGUCAUGGUCGAAUGUCUCAGCUGUGGGGCAAAGAUCCCAAUGAAGUCCAGCCUGAGCGAUGCCUUGAGGGUAGUAUAUUCAUCCCUGUAUCUCCAUCAGUAUUUCCUGCUUUCCAGGCUUGUAAUUCGUGUCCUGCCUUAUCCCCAGUCCAGAUAGGUGCAUAAACUUUCUUCUGGGUGAUAAGUAUAUUGACUGAUGCCGAACAUUUGCACUGUUUAGCCAGGCUGGUCCUCGCAUCUGCAUUGGCAUCAAAUCGGCGGCCUUGCAUAUGAAGAUGGCCACGGCAGAUUUUUAUGUCGGUUGUCAAGUUCAGAAUUGAUGCGUGGUCACCCUGUGGAUUGCCAACCGACCGCCAACUUUUCCAUACAAAAAAGAACUGCACUGGGUAGAGAGAAGGCAAUGUUUAAAUAAAUGUGUCCCUCGUUUGUUUCUACCCCGCCUUCAUCACAAUAACAAACUUCGUGUGUAUCAGAAUUAGUUCGGAGUUAUGAAAUUUGUAUCUUCAAGCACAAAAAUAGUUCGUGAAAAUCUAACAAAUUUUUAUUUUAUUUAUUUAAUUAUUAAUAACUUGAAUGUGAAUACUAGAUAAUGCUCUCCAGCUUGUAAAUGUCCAUUGUUUAUAUUUUCAAUAUUUAUGUAUACGUGCCAUUCAUUAUACGUAUAUUGAAAAUAUUUAUGUAUACGUGCCAUAUACAAAAGCAUUAUUAAUUGUUGAUUCAGGGUAAUUUAAAAUUAGCAUAUGCUUGGAAGACAACAUAUACUAAAUAAUCCGUACACGGGUUUAGGAACUUACCUCUCAACUGCAAUACAUCGGAGCAAAAGAUGGAUAGCAGAAUAAAAAAGGUGGUUUACGGUGUGUGCUAUACCAAAGCUAUCAGAACUAGGGAAUUAAUUAUAGGGGACUCCCAUUGAAUUUACUGUGAAGGGAAACACUUGAACCUAUGACAAACAUAGAUGAGGAUGCAAUACAAGCUAAUCUUAUCAAAGUCCUCUAAUACUUAAUUACAGCUGGAUCAUAUUUGCUAAAAAUGAAAUAAUGAAUUUAUAGAACCAGAAUGUCCGGGAAAAAAUACGAUUCUAACAUUAUCUGACAUUGCCAACGAAGAAGCUUAAUCAUUCUAAGCAUUCUAGGUAAUGCUGAUCUUGACCAAUGUCAAUGCUUCGACCUACACAAAUAGUCUACAAUAAAUACCUGCUUUCAAUUACCAACUAAAAAAAAAAAAAUCCAGUGGGAGACACAACAGCAAAUGAAUUCAGAAGCCCUCAAUAUCCGUUCUGAGACAACAACACAGAUAUGUAUAUGUACACGAUUAUUCGUCUGAUAACCAACAUCCGUUCUAUCGAGAUUGUGAAGAAUCAACGAGGUGCUUAAGAGUGCAAGGCAUCUUGUUCCACAUAUUCGGUUAGCACAAAUUUUUAGAAGUCAGCCUCAUGAAAGAUAAAUCAAAAGAAACAGCAGGAACCACUUACGUUAAUUGUCAAGAACUCACACUUCCCAACAUCUUCCACAUCCCACCACCAGCAUUCGCAGGUUGAUGGAAGACGUUACGAGCCCACCUCAUGUAAUGUGGGCCACAAAGCCGACAACCCUCAUCUGACAAAGCAAUGCCCCAAGACAAUCUGUACAAAAGGGAUCAAUGCCAUCAUGUAACCGUGCCAUAAAAAAGAUCUUCCAACUUGACUCAUUCAAACCCUGCGAUUCCAUAUAUCCUUGUAAUCAACCAGGUGUCAGACAACGACAUCACAGCCAGCACGCGCAAUAAAAAGUAGGCCACAACUAUAUUCCAAGCAUAAUCGAGUAGCUGACAAAUGCAAACCAACGAACUUACCCCAAACGGCUUACUACGGCAGUACCCUGAAACCGUCAAAUUUUCCAAGGAAACUAUAACAAAGAAAUGUGUGUAUUUAUAUGAAUGCUCCACAGGCUUGAAAUUUUCAAACUACAUUGUACAUAGGACCAACCAGCAAAACUAAGGAUCAAUGUGUCUUCCUAAACCAACUAGAAGUACAUCGAGGAUUCCUUCCAACAAGAAGACCUACUGCAACUGAUCAAGCUCAACAAUGUCUGCACCACAUAUCACUUCCACCUCCUCCGUCUCCUACUCUCCAUUACCCAUCCCCCCUUCCACCCUCCAUUCCAAUCAUCACCAUCCACAUCCACAACUCUCUGCACGCCAAAAUGUAAUUCUCCAAUAAAUAUAACCAUAGCACCACCUCGUCCCUAAAUCUGUUCAGAAUCUAGUGAUUACCGUAUCUCUCUCCAUGGUGCACAUCUUAACCAUGUAGUCUCCACUACUUUACUACACAACAGAGUUCUGAAAAAAUCAAGUGGUAUCGGACAUUCCAAUUCCUACGCAACCAAAAUAAACACAGAAGACCGCCUCCUACCCACUGCUUCCUCUAACUCUCGGCCCUCCCCCUCCUCCCCUACCCCUUCUCCUACACCACACCUACUGGCAGGUCACUCCAUUCCCAUCCGACCACUCGAUCGGCUCCUCGCCGCCUGUGGCUCCACAUUUCUGGACCAUGGUCAUGCAGCCAAAAUCCUGCCGCCUUUACUUUAACACUAGGUCGACACGCCUGCGCCCAUCCCAACACAAUCCCAUCGUCAGCCCCGCAACACAAAUCCCGCCACAAAUCACCCUCCCACCACCACUUCCUUCACGCAUCGCACGCACCUACUACCCGCCCCACAUCUCUACCCAUCAUGCGCUACCUCGACACCGCUCUUACCACUACUCUCCACCAUCUAAGCACCCCNNNNNNNNNNNNNNNNNNNNNNNNNNNNNNNNNNNNNNNNNNNNNNNNNNNNNNNNNNNNNNNNNNNNNNNNNNNNNNNNNNNNNNNNNNNNNNNNNNNNGUUCACCGCUCCCUCCGCGCUCGCACCUCCGCCCACGCCGAACCCCGCUCCGCUCCCGCCCCCCACCGACCCUGUCGUCCCCGAAUUAUACGCCUCCGACCCCGACGACCUCCAUGUGUUGUCCGCGUACCCUGAAUAUGCAUCCCCGUACCCUCCCCCACCGUAGCUCCCGCUCCCCGUCCCCGCGCCCGAGCUCCCGUACCCUCCUCCUCCCCCGCUCGAUCCGUACCCGCUACCCCUACCGCCAUACCCACCCGCCGAUCCGUACCCUGUCUCGCUGCUCCCGUAACCAUACCCCGCAGCACUCCCGUACCCCGAGCUCGCUGCUGCCCCCGCUCCCGUCCCCGUCGUCCCCCACGCCGCAUUCCCGUAUCCGCUCAUGCUCCCGCUCCCGCUCCCCCCGUACCCAGUCGAGCUCGCGCCCGUCCCGUAUCCCCCACCCCCGCUCCCCCACGCGCUCCUCCCUCCCGCAGGGGCGCUCCCGUACCCUGCGCUCCCCGUGCCCCCGCUGCCAUACCCCGCCCCGCUUCCGUACCCUCCCGCUCCGGGAGCGCUCCCGUAACCUGCACUCCCAUACCCUCCCGCUCCGCUCCCGUACCCCCCGCCGCUCCCGUACGCGCUGCCUCCAUACCCCCCGUUCAUCCCCGCGCCAUACCCCGCGCUGCUCCCGAAUCCCGCUGCGCCGUACCCCGCGGCCCCGUAUCCCGGAUACCCGCCUCGCCCCACCGGCGUCGGCCCGUACCGGCUGUCCCCGCGCCCCCCGUAUCCGCUCCCUCCUCCCGGACUCCCACCCCCGUAUCCUCCCUGGCUGUACCCCGAUCCGUAGUUGCCCCCGCCGCGACCGCCUCCGCCGAACCCCCCGCCAGCCCGCCCCGACCCCGCCGACAGCUCCUUCGGAAUCGCCUUCUUCACCUCCACCAUCUUGUCGUUCAGCUCGUGGAACGACUUCUGGAUCACGUUCUCAACUGCAUCCUCAGAAUCAAAAGUGAUGAAGCCAAACCCCCGAGGCCUUUGCGUAUUGUGGUCAUACAUAACAACCACGUCUGUAAUAGUACCAAACUGCUCGAAAUACUUUUUGAAGUCAUCCUCUGUAACUGUCGAGGCUAAGCCCCCCACAAAUAUCUUCUUUGUCCUAGUGUGGGAUGUUGCAGGCCCUUGGCCACCCACGCUGUUGCUCCUAGGUAUACUCUGCUGUUCGUCUCUCGGCACAGCUUUUUUCGCUUCCACCUAGAAUGGGAAAAAAAAAUAUUUAACAAAGACACGCUACACAAAGUUAUACAACUGCCACACAACCUCAUGCCACCAACCACCAUCACCACACGCACUCCCGCAUGCCACCCCCCUCCCAUGCAUUCAACUCCACCUCGAUCCCCCUUCGCCCGACACCUACCGCCCCCCUCCCUCCCUCCCACCCUCGCGCCCUACCGCACUGACCUCACCACGCCACCGGCCCUCCCCUCCCCUCCCCUCCCCGAGUCCAAGACAGAGCGCUUACCGUUCUUCCGUCGAUGGUGUGCUUCUCGCCGGCCACCCGAUCGGCCACGCUCGGGUCCGCGAAUAUCACGAACCCGAACCCCCGCGCGCGCCCCGUCGCGCGGUCCUUCAUGAUCACCGUCUCCGCCACCUCGCCAUAGCUCUUGAAGUAAUCGCGCAGCUUCUCCUCCGUCGUCUCCCAAGAGAUGCCGCCGAUGAACAGCUUGCCCUGAUCGGAGUCCAUGGCCGCCGACCCGUCCUGGUCCGCCAGACUUCCCGCCCUCCUAACUCCCGCUGAAAUGGUUAGAAAAAUCGGACUCCACCAAACCCAAAUGCCCCUUACAUACACAAAGAUCUAAAAUGAUGUAAAGGAGAGGGAGAGGUAGAGAACUGCUUGGACGAUCCGCAUUCAACGCGCGAACCAACAGGCCGCGGUGGGGCAGGGGGGAAGGAGAGGGAAGCGUGAGCCUAGGGUUAGCAGUGACACCCGAAGCGUGGUACAAAAAUAAGAGAGAAUGGGGAGCGGACUACAAUAGGAGAGAUGGAGGGUGGAGAAGGACGUGUGACGAGGCAGUCUCAGGAAUGAGAGAGAGAAAAAGACGAGGCGGAGAGUAGACGGGCGCGGGAACUGGCAAGAACGGGACGUUCCCUGGGUGCCUGCUUUCGUCCAUUCACGGGAGCCCGUCGAAGCCGGGGCUACGUCACUGGCUUCCACGCCCGCCCGCGCGCUUGUCAUGCCUCUUGAGGAAAUGGGUCUUGCCGCGUGUUCAUUCGCUUUGUGACACCCAUUCUAACUGCCCCGCACGGACUCUAAUUGCUUUCUAGUGUUAUGGUUGGUGCCCGAGGUUGCGGAGGCGAUCCCCAAUCCUUCCCCCCCACGACUCACCUUUUCAAACUAAGUCUUCCUCCUCCAUGACACCAUUAUAGCCCACAUCCUGCGAAUAACAGCUCCAACUAGUGUUUCCGUUAUCCUCCCCAACUCACUGAGCCUGUCCGCCCCUCUUUCUCUCUGGAUGUUCGUUCAUCCACCUCGAUGUCAUCACCUAUCAUUGGUUUGUGUUGUUGAAUCGCAAUGGCAAUUCGUACCCCCCUCAUCGUGUUCUUUGUUUCUUCUCUUCGGUUUGUCUGUGCGUGCUGUCAUCCAUUGAACAUCCACCCUUCAUCUGGAGUAAACAUGGAUGAGAAAAAGUGGAUGAAUGUUUAGAACCGAGUGGUUCGUCACACAUGAGAGGGCACUAGCUUCGAUGAUGGCGUCUGGAUUCUAAAUUUGGACGAAACCAGUGAUGCUCGAAGAGCGGGUAUAUCGCCCGAGUCAGAGCCCCAGUUCCAUUCUACUCUAGACUUUGUUGUGAGGUGAAUUUGGGAGAGUGCAACCUGCGUUUGAGUAAGUACAAUUAAGCAGUGGAAAAGGUGCGGAGGAUCUGGAUUUUGUUUCCGGUGGCCAGAUUGUAUUGCGUUGGUUGGUUUGGAAGGCGUAGUUUGUCCUUUGCUCCGAAAACUUUUUUGAAUGGAGCUGGCGGAUGUUUUAGCGAAAGACAUGUCCUCGUCAUCCAGGAUAAGUCUAAUACUCGGAUUGAAGAAGGGAAAUCCGAGGAAAUUUAGGACACUGAGACGCCGGUUGUUCCUACGGAAUAAGUUCCGAAUAAUGAUUAUAUUUCAUCGGGACUUCUGUUGAGGCUGUAAGUUUGCGAGUUGCCAAAUUUAGAUGUUCUCCAGGUGUUCUAUCAAUUCUUCUCAGGCUUCCAAUCUGGACAAGUUUUAUACGGAAGAUUUGAAGUAAUGCAGCAGGCUUCUACAGUUUAACGUAUACGAGAAUUUGUUUAUCUCAUUUCUUGCACGGAGGUGCCCGUACAGAAGUUUGUUUCGGAGUUUGUUUACCUGUUUUGUUGGAUUUCUUCUGAGUUUAUCUUAGAAUUACAAGGUUUGUAUGUUUAUCGCGGAUGGCAUUUGUUGUCAACCUUUUUGUUGUGGAAGUGUCUGGAUUCGUGAUAGUGUGACCUGUUCGAAAAAGUACCUACGAAAAAUUAUCCUUAUCUAUGAUCGUCUGAUUCGAUGUUCUCGUUGAGCAUUGAACAGAGCCUCUGUCCUGCUACGGUUUGUCUUUACCAUCCAGGCAUCGACCUGAUUUCCUGUUUUUCCUUAUCAGGUAAUCUCUUAAGGAUCACUUGCGAGUAGUUUCAGUCCAUAGCGUGAAGCACGAUAAAUUUGCACUAAGAUUAGUGCCUGGUUGCUUUCUCAUCAAUAUUUUUGCUUCUGGACUCCUGUCAGUCAAGCUUUUGAUAGUUGAGAGAGCAGUGUUGCCGAUAGAGAAUGCUGUCGAUGGAAGCACUCAUCGCAAUUAUGAUCUACUUCAAAGUCAUCGUCCCUACAUAGUUGGUAAACUUCAACUUGCAGUUCAUCAUUGUCGUACAUGACUUCCAGGCGUUAAGGAAGCGGGAUUACUACGAGUUUUUAGUCACACCCUGAUACAUAAUGCUUCACACACUAGUGGUUGCUUUGUUCGAGGUGUAUUUUCAUUAUCAGAAUAGUGUAGGGUAAGAGUGGCUGUGGUGUAAAAUUUUCCAAGUUACUGGUUUAGAAGUUGCUGCUUGAAAAACACCAUGUCUCUUUUAGUACUACUUCCAGUUGCCAGUAGCAUGAGGAAGUGUGUAUUGCUACUAGUUACUGAACUUCUAAUCGAGAGUUUUUUUUCCAUUGUGAUGUAGAGAGUCGUUAUAUAUCUAAGUCAUUAUUCUUUAUAAACAAAUUACUGUUAUUAUUAUCAACUCAUUGCCCUUUAGUUUCGUUUAUGUCUGAUGUAGAAUGUAAAGUCUUUCAUAUUUGCAUAAUGGUUGGAACAUUUAUUAUCUGGUUUUAACUUUGUUUACAAAUCACAGUCUCUAACUCAAUGUGAGCAAACAUCGACGAAGUUCGUCAUGACUCGAAACUUUAGGUCAUACAGCUGUAGCUGCACAGGUAAUCAAACUAUUGAUUUUUGAAGUUUGUAAUUCAGAUGGCUGUUAUAACUAUAAAAUCUCUCUAAGCGUCAUUUCUACCUUUUGAGAUUUCAUGUUAGGAUUUUGGAAGGGGAUAUUUCUAUUUUUCUUUAAACUAUGUUAUUUCUGAAGCUUAGUUGCGGAGACAGUUUUGUGCGUUCACUUGCAUUGAUUUAGUGAUUAUUUUCAGGGUGAAGUUUUGUGCCUUUCUUGAUUGUGCAUCUAGUUGUGUUUUCUGAUGUUAAUCGAAUGUGCAGUGCUUUUAAUCUUGCGCAGGACUUCUAAUGGAGAAUCAGAUUCAAGGUAAUGUGAUACUGAUUUUCGCAGUUAAUCAUUCAUAAAAUUCGGAAUAAAGGAGUUGCUGGAAAUGCACGGGCCACAGAAAUAUACAGGCAGGACAUCCUUAAAGAUGGCAAACGGGUAUUAUUCUGUCCCUUUGAAACGUAUAAUUUAUUUUGGACAGAGCCUGAGGAUAGACAAAUACAAGUGUCAAUUUCUGCUGUUGGAAGGUCUUGUUUUUUGUUGUUUAGUGAGAAGUGCUUUUCCAGUACGUUUCUGGGUUGAUCUUGGGCACCAACAUGGAUUCAGGAUACACGAUCAUUGCCUGAAGUGGGUAAUUUGUGAUAAUAGAAAGUGCAGGAUGAUCUAGACAAUAUCACUCGCUUUUUAAUGCUUGCUAAACAACCUAUUGUUCCAGGAACUGGUCUACCAUUAAAGGUGGGAUGGGUUUUCAUUCUUUAUAGAUACACUAACGUGAAUUUUUACUAUUGAACAAGAACCUGACACGUCAAGAAUCUUAUUGGUGUAUACCUGCAGCUGUCUAUGGCCAAGUGAUCCAUGGUUGUUGUUAGCAGAUAUGCAAUUUCUUUCUUGGGAUGACAUUGCAUGCAAACAGUCUUUUGCCUGUGCAAGUCUCAGUGUUUUCUCAACUUUUUAAGUUUGAGGUCUCCACUUUCGUGCAUAUUCAUUGCUCGAAAUUGUCUAGGUGAUUUGUCUUGACGCAGACCAGUAUUGUGCCCACAUUCUAAGAAGGACCAGGUGUUCCGUUCAAGGCACUCACUGUCUUAGCACUGCGAAGCAUCAAUCUUACGAAGGUAUUCAAUUUCUGUAGUUCUACAUGGAUUAAAUGGUAAUGUACGUGGAUUGUGGUGCACAAGUAUUUGAAACUCUUAUAUUGACUUGGCAGAUUGAAAGUCGUCCUCAACGAAAGAUGCCUUUGCACGUGGUGGAUGAUAGUAACAAUUGACGUGCUUUCACAACCUCUUAAUUAAUACAUUUCAUGUUCUUUUCAAUCCCAACAAGGGGUCCCUCAUUUUACAAGUUUAUUUUUGUUCAACCUGUUUCAGCCACAGCUUUAGGUGAACACCCCCACAAGUAUAUACCAGUAGGAUUUUUUUUUUUUUUUUUUUUUUUUUUUUGUUUUCAAAUCGGAUAUUGAUAUGCUUGGCAUAGAUGUGCUAGCAUUUUGGUCAUUUGAAGCUUCAAUGCGAGCCUCAGACAGCUGCUCUCUCUCUACACUUGAGCAUAAUGUUGGGCUGAGUUGUAACUAAAAUUAGGGAUAUUGUUGUACUUUCUUCAUUUUUGCAGCAGUUUUGUGGUUGAGAGGCUUCAAAACUCUAUGUUCACAUAAUUGAAUAUCUGAUCAUAUUUGAAGGUAUGUACAACUUUGGGUUCAUUAAUAAAUUAUAAUUUAUGAAAUGUUACUUUCACUUGAGUGUGAGUGUUUGUAACAAAAUUGAAUAAUCUUUUUGUGUGUUCUUCUCAGAUUUGAACAUUUCUUGACAAAGUGACAAUAGGUUAACAAGGAUCAAGUUGCACAUUGACAUGGCUUUUAAGAUUUCUUAUUAUUUCUCCUGUAAUUAUUUUAAGGUUUCUUUUAAAUUUGAUUAAAGCUAGUGUUGCAUUGUUAAGAUUUAAUUAGAGUUUAUUUAAUAUUCUAUUAGACUUAAGAUUUUGUAAUAGCAAUUUCGAUUUUACCUUCCAUAAUACAACAUAUUUGGUGAAUUCGACAUAAAAAACCUGAGAUGAAAGAUAUUUGGUUUUCUUGGAUUAUUUAAAUUAUACAAAAGAAAGGCAAGAGAGUUGAAAGAGGAGCUAUAAGUGGCAGAACUAGUAAAGAACAAAAUAUGUAUUUCAAUCUCAAUUUUGCAAACAUAUUUAAAGCUUUUGCCUUAUUUAUGCAAUAACAACAGAUUAAAGAUCGCAAAGAAAGUAUGGCAAAAAAAACAUUACAAGAAGUUGUAAAUAAGAUUGAUUAAUUUGAAGAAAAUGAUAUUAUAAAAUAUUUAAGGUGUUAUGUCAAAAAAAUAAAAUUAAAGUAUAUUUAAGAAAGGAAGAUGGUUCAAUUAUUUGAAUUAGCCUUUGUACCAAAGAUAAGAAAUCAAGUAAAGUUUCUUAUAGCACAUUUUGGAGGUUUAUAAGAGAAAUUUUCCCAAGCAUUGAAGGAUGAAUUUUUUUUGGAAGAUAGUAACAAGGUUACAAAAAAAGUCAUUUUUUGAAUGAAUUAAAAGGAAAAAAAAAAAAAUGAUCUUCUAGCAACAGAAUCAUUAAAAAAGUUUGAAAAGCAAUAUUUUUAUUUAUCAAAGAAAGAUGGGUAGUUAUUAGAUCCAAGUAAAAUCAAGCUUUUUCUUUAAGUAGGUAAUGAAGAAUUGCAAGAAAAGUUGGAAAUUUUGCUUGAAGAUAAAGAAGAAGAUGAAGGAUUAACAACAAAUUGGGAAGAAGUAGAAGAGGUAGUAGAAUUGCUUGCAAAAAGAGAAAAGAGAAUAAAAAAAGGACAAGGUGGGUAUUCAAAGACCAUUGCAAAUAUCCCAAGUAAGAAUACCUACUACCAAUCUUAUAUCUAUGAUUCAACCUUCAAUGGCUACAUCAAAGAAAGAUGAAAUGGACAUCAAUGAAAUUAUAUAAGAGAUGAGAGAUUUGCAAAUAAAAUUUGCAAAAUUUGAAGAGAAGGUUCAAUCAUCAAGAGUAUUAAUAAAACAAAGGUUAGGAUCGAUAGAAGGUGUAGUACAUAGGUGCAUGUGAUAUGAUAGCAUAUAUCAUUCGAGAAGGAAAUGUGAAGAUUUUAUAGAGGUGUUACAUAAAGAGAUUGUUUUUUUCAAAGUUGAUAUAAUACACCUAAAAAAAAGUGAAGAAAAAUUGGAGACAAACUUUGGCAAUGGAGGUAUGAAAGUAUUGAUGGUUCAUGCAAAGGAAACAAAGACAUAUAGAAUUGGACUUACUCAAGAUUGUGCCAGCAUAAGCAUUAAAGCAUUGGAUCAUAUAAAUUCAUUGUGGCCAAGUACAAUGAAGUGUGCGGCAAAUGACAAGGUUGCUAGAAAUAUAUUAAUUAAUGCGGGUAAGUCUAUUCAAGAAACCAUGGGUUGGAAUGAUCUGAUUGAUAGUCUAUGUGUACAUGCAUAUGUUGCAAAGAAUCAACAUAAAAGAUUAAUAGAAGAAAAAUAAAAGAGAGAUGAAAAUAAUGAAGGGCCAUGAGAUAAAAGAACUAUGAGGGGAGAAAAAGCACGACAACAUAAAAAUCCUAUGCAUGAAGCGACAAAAGAGAAUAUUUUUCCAAAAGAAAGAGAAAUUGUAAAAGAAAAAGCAAAGGCUCCUAUUUAUAAAUUACAAUCACAUAUUGAAGCAACAACGGAUUUGAGGAAGAUUUUAGAAGAAUGCAUUUUAAAUGGCAAGGUGGAAUUUACACAUCACCGAAGAGAUGAUAUUGGAACGAGGAAUCCUUGACCUAGUUGCAUGGAAUGGGCAGCCACCAGUAACAGUGAAAUUGAGCAUAUCAUAUUACGUCACUGCUUCAUUCGCAUCAUCGACAUUUGCAGCAAAUAACAACGUUGUUCCAGGUCAAUAAUGGCUAACAGUAAACACAGAGAAUGCGAGGCAUAAAUUCAAAGCUCGCCAGGUUCCUUUGCCGGCGCCACUCUUCCCCAACGUCGUUUAAAAUUCCUCGAUCCUGGAUGAUUUCUAUAUAAUAGUGGCAGGGCUCUCCCUGGUUAUCAUUCACAUCAUUUUUCUGAUCAUGUGCUGUACUACUUCACUCCCGUACUCGACAACCAAAUCCAAUAAUAACAUUAAGGCUGGUUGAUGAAUCUCAACAAUUAUGAGAUGCCCUCAACCCUGCAGUUGCAAGGAAGUCUACCGAACUUCCGAAGAUGCCGAAAAUUAGCUAUACUAAGGACUUGUGCAAUCCAGAGAAGUCAAUCAAAUUCGGUCCAUAUGGACUACCGCUUCAGAAAUCAUCAGAGCAUUGAGCGAGGUCAUGGAGAGAUAUACCCGAGAACACCGUGCAACAGUAGUGAACCCUAAUGCAAGAUACGAGUAGAAGAUGUUGUACUGUACCCUCGACCAGUGCGACUCUAGAACGAAUGUCUGGAGGACGAUGGAGACUUGGAAUAUUGGAGCUGGGAGGAGCGCAAUCAUUGGGAUUCUACUGUAAAUGUUUCUAAAUUGUAACAUAAAUUGAUAAAAACAAUCUUUGAAGAGAACAUUUAGAGAUCAUUCUUCAGUCUGUUUCCUUGUGAUAUUGCAUUCCCUAGAGCUCAUUCUCCAACCCAUUCUCCUAAUUUGUGUUUUGUAUGGCAGAAGCAGUGGUUGGAGAAGAAGCAUGUGGGAGCUGGAAUCUAGCUCAGUAUUUGGGUUGGUGACGCCGACGAGCUGGACAUAGCCCAUGGUGACAGUGCGGGAGCCGAAAUACAUGAGCUCAUCGUGUUCUAUCCCACAGCCGCGUUUGCUGAGACCACAGCCGUCACUGCAAUGAGACAAGUGGCAAAGUGUUGGAGCAGGAGGAUGACAUCCAGUAUGCACACACGUUGCCGCUGUCCAUCACGCCUAGAUCGCUCCACAAUCAUCGAACCCGUUUCUUCUACAAUUAUGCGGCGUUGUCUGAGGUGCCUUCAGAUGCGACUCCCCAGACCAUCAGUGAAGUGCGGAGAGUUUCCACCGCUAACGGUCGUAGAGUUUGAGGUGCCGACUUGUCACACUGACUCCACAGAACUGGCUCUGGAAGAUUGUAUGACUUGCGUUACCUCGGUGGAAGGACCAGAUACUAACUGAAAGAAGGAGUUAGUUGACCAACGCAGAUCCAGACCGGACUGUCUGUGUUCGAGCACAAGAGGGAGAAAUCCACGCCUCGAUAUGGGUCAGGUUUCGCAGCCGGAGAGGAGAUUUGGGAGGGGCUCAACAAGGAUGAAUCAACAUUCAUAGAUCCAAACAAUGUUCCGAAAUCGAGUGGAAAUGAAUUCUACAGCGAAUAGUUUGUGUGUUUUUUUUUCUACGCAAGGAAUUGCGUUAGUAAUCGGACGGAUUCUUAUGGGCCGCGUAGCACCUGAACCUCUGUGUGGAUGCCAUAGCCAGCAUGAACAUCGGCCGCUUUCAACGUCUCCUGUGGGUUUACGAUCAAAUAUCAAAAUGUCACCGUAAUGAAUGUGAAUAUGUCGAUAUUAAAACGUUAUCAACGCUUACUCUCAUUGUUAGAUGUCAAAAUGUAGUAAGUUCCUUCUAUAAAAUAUUAAGAAUGACUUACAAGGUUGAUAUCAUUCAUGUUUUUAAAUUUGAUGGCACAUACUUUAACAUUUGGCAACUUUAACAUUUGGCAACUUUAACAUUUGGCAACUUAAAUCCUUACAUAUAGCACCUAAUACAUCACAAAUUAUUGCUAGUAUGUCAACUUUGCAUGCUACAAGAGUUAAAAACAAUACCCAUUGAGAAGAUAGAGAUAUAUUAUUUCUAACAAUAAUUAAUAAUUUUCUCAAAAAUAACAUUAUAUUACAUAUACAAUUAUAUAAGACAUCAAAUAAAUUAUGGAAGGAAUUAAAAAGUAUGUUUGAAUCAUAAGAUGCAAUAACCAAGAUGUAUCUUAAAGACAAACUACACACUCUUAAAAUGAAAGAAAAUGAGAGUAUCACUAAAUAUAUUCAUGUGUUUAGAUCUUACCUUAAGCAAUUGCUAAUAGCUAGAUGUCCAAUUCAAGAUGAUGAAACAAUUUUAACUCUUUUGAGAAGUUUUCUCCUAUCUUAUAGAUCUAUAAUUAACUCUUUAAGAAUACAAAUAGAUAUUUUAUACAAUCAUUAAUAAGAAAAUUAAUAAAAUAAAAAAUCUUAAUAAAGGAUAUGAAUUUAGCUAUAAAAAAUAUAUUAGUUUUUUAGGUUUAAAAGAAGCAAUCUUAUAAUAAUAAAAAAUCACACUAUAUUAAAAAAAUAUAAGAAUUUUUAAAAAAAGUUUAAAAAAUCUUCUUGAUCUUUUGAGAAAAAGAACUAUUCUAUUGACAAGAAAUGCUUUUAUUGUAAAAAAUAUAUAUAUCUUAUUUAUAAUUGCAAAGAAGAAUAGCUACUCAAGAGAUAAAAUAAUUAAAUAUGGUUACAAAAUCAAAUAGACUUUAUGGAAUUAUAGUCACAAUCUACUUCUAUGUAAUAUGUAAAUUCUAGAGCAACACAACAUAUGUAUCAUAAAUCAAAUAUUUUCACUAAUUAUCUAAAGUAUGUAAAUUAAAAACUUAUGCAUUUAUAAGAUGAUUGUACAUCUUAUAAAAUAAAAGAACAUGGUGACGUUACAAUAAGACUUUUAACUGGUAUAGAGAAAAUCAUAUCUAAUGUCAUACAUGUAAUUAAACUUGUAAAGAAUUUGUAAAUAAUUAGAGAAAAUUAGAGGUGAAAUUUAUAUUAAAUUUUGAAUUUAAACAUUAUUAAAUAAACAAGACCAUACAAUUGCAAGGUGCAAGUUAAAUCCCAACUUAUAAAAUUGGACAUUAUUAUAAUCUCAAAUCAAAAAGCAUUGGCAAUACCAACUACUAUACAAAAUUUGAGUAAGGCUGAUUUAUGACAUCUAAGACUAAGCCAUAUAAAUCAACAAUUAAUGUCAAAAGGCAUUGAUCCUUUUGAUAUAUAUAAAAUGACUUUUUGUCAAUUAUGUAUUGAAGGUAAACAAUACAAAGAAAAGUUUCCUAUAAGUGGCAUACAAAAAGCUACAAAGCUUUUUAAACUUUUUCAUUUUGACAUUUGCGGCCUUGUGUAAAUUGAUACAUAUUUUGGAUGUAAAUAUUUUGAUACUUUCAUAGAUGAUUUAUCUAGAUAUUAUUAUGUCUACUUAAUAAAAAAAAUCUAAAAUAUUUGAUAAAUUCAUAUUCUAUAAGAAUUUUAUAGAAAAAAAUUAAUCACAAAAUUAUAAUCUUAUAAUUUGAGUGUAAAAAGAACAUAGAUAUAUAUAUAUAUAUAUAUAUAUAUAUAUAUAUAUAUAUAUAUAUAUAUAUAUAUAUUUAAUUCAUUUAGUGAUUUUUGUAAAAAUAAAGGCAUCAAAAGAACUUUAAUAGAAGCCAUUUUAGUUAUGUUAUUAUAUGUUAAAUUACCUAAAUAUUUAAAAAAAGUAUUUCAGAUUAUAAAUUAUCUCUAAAAUAAAAGUUUUACUAAAAUUAUUAUAAAAAAUAAAAUUUAUUUUGAAAUAUGGUUUAGAAGAUGACUUAAUCAAUCUUAUUUAAAAGUUUUUAGGAGUAAGUUCAUAUCCUUGUUUAAAAAAAAACUAAAAGAAAGUUUGACUCUUAUUCUAUAAAAGCUAUUUUUUUAAGAUGUAAUAAAGAAUCAAAUGCUUAUUGCCUUGUAAGCAAACAUAAUAAUAUCAUUGUAGUAUUCUAAAAUGUUAUUUUUAAUAAAUGUUUUUAUGUUAAAUCAAGAGAUUUAGAAUCUAUCAACUCUUUUAUAUCUAUCACAAGUCUAGUUAUCAAGCUAAUAUGGCUAAGACAACACAUCUUCAUCUAAAACUUUCUAAAACUAUGAUUGAAGCUUUAGCCAAACCUAAUGAAUAUCAUUGGCAAGUAUCCAUUAUUGUUGAAUUUAAAUCAUUAAAAAAGAAAAAAUCAAACUUGAAAGUUAAUACUACUUCUAUUAAUUAAAAAUUGAUUAGCUUUAAAUAUGUCUUUAAGAUUAAAACCUAUGCUGAUGGUACUAUUAAUUAAUAUAAAGCUAUGCUAAUAGCAUGUGGCUUUAUUCAAGUACAAGAUAUUAACCAUUUUAAAAUAUUUUCCCUUAUUCUAAACUUAAUUCCAUAAAAGUCCUAUUACUCAUAGCUACUUGAUAUAAUUUAGAAAUAUAUCAAUUAGAUGUCAAAACAAUCUUUUUUAAUGAAUAUAUUGAUAAGGACAUAUAUAUAUUUAUCUCUAAAGGAUUAUCAACAUCUUUUAAUUCCAACAUAGUGUGCAAAUUCAUUAAGUUCUUAUAUAGACUUAAAUAAUCUUUAUAAGUCUAAUAUGUAUAUUUUGAUAAUUACUUUAUUCAACAAGAACUUAUUAGAUUAGAUGUUAAUACAAAUAUCCACAUUAAAAGAGAUAAUAAUAAUAAUAGAUUUAGUAUUUUGACAAUCUAUUCUAAUAACUAUAUAUUUAUUAGUAAUAACAUUUCAUUUAUUUACAAAAUAAAACAGAUUCUUUACUAGACAUUUGACAUAACAAACAAAGUUAAAAUAUAUAAUAUACUUAGAAAUUCUAUUACUAAAAAUUGGCUAGAAGGUUGGACUAUCUUAUAUUAAUAAUAAUAUUUAUUUGAUAAAUAUAAAGAAUAUUAUCUAUUAAAUUAUAAUCCUUUAAGUACACCUAUAUAAUAUGAAAUAUAAUUAAAUAAAGAUGAUUCUUCUUCUACCCAAGAGGAAAAGAUACUUAUUAGUUUAUAUUCUUUUUCUUAAUUGGUUUGGCAAGUUUAUACAUAUGCAAGUUAAUUCUAGACCAGAUUGUACUUACACUAUUAAUAAUAUAGCAUAAUAUCUAUUUAAUCUUGAUUAAUUCUAUAUUCAAAAUUUAAAAAGAACUAUGCAAUAGAUCAAAGAUAUAUUAAGUUUUAAUAUUAGAUGUAAAUAAUUACAUAUUGGGCAUAUUUUUUAUGGUUAAUCAAAUGUUGAUUGGACCAAUAGUAAAAAUGUUUAAUGUUCAACUUUGGAGUAUUGUUUUCUUUUGGUUGACAUGGUUAUUACUUGGGAUAGUAAAAAAACAACAAAGUAUUUUUUUAUCUUCUAUAAAAUUAUAAAACAUGGCUUUAGCUAAAAUUAAUGCUAAAUUUUUAUAUUAAUACAAAUUAUUAACCAAAUUAAGGUUUUUAUAAUUUUAUUUUAUUAUUUUAUAUUGCAAUAAUUAAAGUGUAAACUCCAAGUAUCAUUCUUAUAAUAAGUAUGUAAACAUAUAACACAAUUUAUCAAAGAAAUAUUUUUUCUCAUGAGAUUCUAUUAAGUUGUAUUUUUAUAUUUAAUAUGAUUACUGAUAUUUUCACUAAGUCUUUAUAUCAAGACAAAUAUAAGCAUUGUCUAAUCAACUUGAGAAUGUGUUUGAUUCCAACCAAGGCUAAUUCAAGAAGUGAAGCCUUUGCCACUUAUAUAUAAUACUUUGGUUUUAAUCCACAUUCUUCUUACUCAUGUAAAAACUAUUUACUAUUGUGUAUCUAUAAUUAUUACCUCAAGCAUUUACUACAUUAGUUAUUUAUGCAUGUCCACAUAUUCUUUUAAUUUAUGAAUCUAUUAUUUAUGUCUCUUAUAACAAUAAUACAUAAGUUAGGAUAAUUUGAUUGAUCUUAGAGUGGAAGAUUGUGAGUCAUAAAAAUGACUUUUUUUUAGUUUUAGAAGAAAAAAAUACACUUAGAAUAUCAAAAAUCACAAUUAUUAAGUAAAGUGAAUGUAAAAAACUCUAGAUGAGUGAAUAAAUAGUAUUAAUUUUGGAAAUGUGAUUCUUUAUCAAAAUUCUUAAUUAUAUUGUUAAAAUCUCAAAUUUGAUGAAGCUAGAUGAAGAUGAAAAUUAAUUUAAUUUAUAAAAAUUUGAUAAUGGGUGAAUAUUAUAUUAGAUGAUUAAUUAAGAUUAAAUAAAGCUAAAUUAUAAUUUAAAUAAAUUUAAAAUAGAUGAACCAAGUUAGAUAAAUAUUGAUUUAUAGAUGAAUUUUUAUUCAAAGAUAUUUUUUAUUUAUAGAUUUUUUAAAUUUAUAGAUGAAUUUUUAUUUAUAAAUAAAAUAUUAUAAAAUAAUAAAUUUUUUGUGAUAAAAUAUGAAGAGGUAUAUUCUUAGAAUAAAAGUAAAAAUAUGUAAAGAUAAGAAAAUUAAAAUUGCUUGCCAAAAUGAACUUUUGGUUUGAAUUCUUAUAUUACCAAUCCAAUGUCUAAUCACAUGGACUUUUUGAUAUAAACAUACAAAUAACUAGCCUAAUCAAAAAUAUUCAAUUAAUAUAUGGAUACUUAUCUUAUUAAGCUACAUGAUGGCUUAGUAGGCUAUGGAAACUAAAUGAUAUUAUGACCAAUAAAUAGUAGCUGUAACUUGUCAACUAACAAAGUGGUGUCAACCAUCCAUUCUAUAUUAUAUCUAAUAAAAGUUAUAUGAUCUAUUAAUACUUCUAUUUAAUGACAUAUUAAACUAACUCAAUUUGAUGAUGUCCAUUAUUUCCUUGAAUUUAUAAUGUUUGUCACAAAUUAGUCCUUUAGUCAAAACAUCUGCAACCAUGUCUUAAGUCCUAUAAAAAACUAAGUUGAUGUUGCUACUUCCAAUCUUCUUACAAACAAACUAAUGUUGAAUUUCAACAUAUUUAGUAUGAGCAUAGAAUAUAGGGUUCUAAUAGCAAAUUAUUCUUACAUUACAAUCUUUCAUGCCAAAUCUUUUAAAGAUAUUUUCUACAAUUUUUUUUGAUUUAAGUAGAUUUUACAAAUCUUUCAGUUUUUCAUAAUGUGUAUAUCCAAAAUAUGUUGGAUUUCUUGUAAAUCCUUCAUUUCAAACCUCUCAGAUAAAUUUUUCUUUGUUUUUAAGGAAAAUUCUUUACUAUUAAACACAAGCAUUAAGUUAUUCAUAUAGACUGCAAUGAUGAUGAAGAAUCCAUCAAUUGUCUACAAUACAUAAAUACUAGGAUUGAUAUAGCUUCUUUUUAAACUUUAUGAGGCAAAAUAAUCAUCUAUCAUCUUGUAUCAUGUUCUAAGAGAUUUUUUGAGUCUAUAUAAAGCUUUAAUUAGUUUACACAUCAAUCAUUCUUCACCUUCUAAUAUAUAGUCUUUUAGUUGGUCUAUAUAUAUCUCUUCUUUAAGAUCUCUAUUCAAGAAUACUCUUUUGAUAUUUAUUUGAUGAACUUUCACAUCUUCAACUUCAACUAGUGCAAGAAGUAUACAUAUUAAGGUCAUUUUUGUCAUUGGAACAAAAGUCUCAUUGCAAUUAAUAUAUAUAUUUUUUGUGCAUAAACUUUUACAAUGAAUCUUGCUUUAUAGCACUUCUCUAAUCCAUUUAUAUUAUAUUCAAUUUUAAAAUCUAUUUGCAAACAAAUGAUUUUUUGUUUGCUGGUAAUAGUGUCAAAGUUCAAGUCUUGUUGUUAAUCAAACUUUGGUACUAUGAAUCCAUUGCUUCCUUUUACUUCUAAGCAUCAUCUUUUUUCAUAGAUUCAAUGAUAGUAGUUGAUUCUGUAGUGCUUAUGUAAAAAACAUGUGCCAUAUAUGCUGAAGAUAUGAAUGAUGUCAAAGAAAUCUAAGCCAAUGUUAAUUCAUUAGAUGCUUGCAUGUUGGCUUUAUAGAACCAUUUACAUUGAAAUGUAUCAAUUUCAAGAAUUUUGUUGCAUAAGUACCACUUUUUAUUAAAAAAAUAUCACAAUAUUAUUUUCUAUAAAUACACUUUUUAUAAAAUUUUAAUUUUGUGAUCUUACUUAUGUUUAGAUGAAUGAUCAUAUUACAUGUUUAUAGUUUCUUCAAGCCUAAAAUGAUAAAAUGACUAUAUUCUUGAUACCAAAGAUUAAGCUUGUUCAAAGUUUGUUUUAUCUUUAUAAUAAGGAAAAUACUUCUAUCUUCAUACAAAGAUCCUAAAAGCUUAUAUAAGCUAUUAUACCUAAUAUCUUUGAUGGUUUUAUUGUCUCAUUUCAUAAGACAUGUAUUAGUCUUGAAAUUGACUUUAUAACCUUCAUUUGUCAUUUUGCUAACAAAAAAAAAUUCUUAGCCAAUUAUUCAACAUAUGAGAUUUCAUGUAUAUCUUUUUCAACAUUUUUUGAAAAUUAGAAAAAGAUCUUACUCUUCUCUUUGAUUGAAAGUCUGAAAUCAUUGCUCAAAUAGAUUUUAGGGCCAUGUGAUAGAUUUUUGUAAUUUAAAAAUCAACUUUGAUUUUCUAUCAUGUGUUAAAAAGUACUAGAAUUGAUGUACCAUUUUUUGUUACUUUUGUCAUAGAUAAUGCAGCUAUAAAGACAAAUUCAUCUUCCUUUUGAUCUUUCUUGUCUAUUCUAUUAGCUUGCUUUUUUUGAAAAAUCUUCUUUAAUUUUUUUGACUUUAUGUCUUUUUCCUUGAUAUAACAUUCUUUUUCAUAGUGACCUUUUUUGCUAUAAUAUUUUUAUAUGGUAUCCUUUUUGUGAUCAUGUAAAGACCUUCUAUGAGUAUAAAUAUAAAAAAUGUGGCUUGGAUUUUUUUUUUACAGCCAAAAAGUAUACAUCAAAGGUUAAGUAAUUUUUUUUUUUAUUAAUUUCUUUCUUGUGCCAUGAUGCAUCCAACUUCUAAUUCUAAUUUCAAAUCUAAAUCUCUUCUCACUAAAAUGAUUAUAAUUUAUAUAAUUAUUAAUCUAAUUUAGGCAAAUUUUAGAUCAUUAAACUUAAUUUAAGUUAUAAUCUUUAAAUUGUCAAAGCAAAUAAAUAUUUUUUUAAAAAAUGAGAGCCAAACCAAAGAAAAAAAGUUGGCUGCUUAUUGCAACCAUUGUACUUAAAAUCGUCAUCUAUAAAUUAAUUUGAAUCUCCUUUGUCAUAUCUUUUCUUCUUAUAUGCUAAAAUUUAUUGAAAAAAUAAUAAAAAAUCUAGCUCCUUUCAAAUUCUUAAAUAAUAAGAAAGAAAAUACAAGAAAUAGUACAAAAAACUCCAGAUUAGUCUUGAAUCACACUAUUCAAAAAUUAUAGUGAUUGUCUUCUUACAAAUUCACAUAGAUCACCCUUGUUACAACUCUUAUUCUUGUAUGUUAGAUCUUAUUGAAAAGCUAACAAUAAGAUCUAUUUUCUUUCAAAAUUUAAAAAUAAAAACAUAAAAAUGUAAUAAAUGGCAUAGAAAAUCUCAAACUAAUCUUAAAUUUUGCCACCAAAAAACUCUAGCAAUUUUUCUCCUACAAAUUUUCAUAGAUUUCCUUCAUCACUACUUCUCUUCUUAAGUGUUAGAGAUUGUUGGAAAGCUUAUAAUAAGAUCUAUCUUCUUUCAAAAUUUCAAUAUGAAAAGAUGAAAAUUUAGUAAGUGGCAUCAAAAACCUUAAACCAAUCUUAAAACUUCAUACUCCAAAAUUCUAGCAAUUUACUCCUACACACUCCUAUCCAAGAAAAAAAAAAUUAUUAGAUGCCAAAAUCCUUAUUCUAAUCCUUUUCCAAUACUUGCCUUGAAUCUUUAUAGAGUCAAAUAUCUAUCUUAAAAGACUAUAUCUUCGAAGCUUGAAUAAUGUAUUGAAGCUAAUGUUCUCCUAUUCUAAAUCUUAUUUAAAAUUUUAGAUAUAUUAAUAUUAUAUUCCUUCUUUCUUAUAAAUAAAGUUAGUUAUUCUUUAAAUAUCUUUAAUGCACUUAAAUUAAGUGUAGCAUGAUAUUCAUCUCUUUCAAACCAAUAUAUAUUCUAAUAUGUGCCAAAGAAUUAGAUUAUAAUACUUUCAUCAUUAAAAUCAAAGUCAUUGUGAACCAUAUCACUUUUGAACUAUUGAUCAAAAUAUUGAGAUUCAAAAGCCUCUAAAUCCUCCAUAUAAUUCAUCCCAUCUUAUCGUUUGAAGACUUCAAUUGACUAUUUUGCAAUCUUAGUCUUCAAUGGUAUCCCAUCUAACUUUCAAAGAGAAUAAGUUGCAUUAUCAUAUACUUCAACCACCAUAGAGGGUCCAAAUCAAUGCCAUAUAAACUUACAAAGAAUAGAAUAUUAGUGCAUCAAAUUACUAUCAGAAAUUAAAAUCCAAUUAUUAUCUUUAAUUUGCUUAAGCCUCAAUUAAUGAAUUUUAUCAAACCUCUCUUUAUUGUUCAACCUUGCCACCUUAAGUCUCUCCAUAGCAACUUGAUGAUCCUCAAGCAAUUCCUUCAAUUGAAAAAUUUAAAGCUCCAACAAUCUUUCCAUCUCAAUGCUAUCUUUUUAAGAUAAAAAUAAUUAAAAAAGAAUAGACUCUUCUAUAGGCAAUAAAGGCUUUUACUUCAAUAUCAAUUCCAUUGACAUAUAACCAAUAAAUAUGCUAUAAGUAGUCAUAUUUGCCUAUAAAAUAAAUAACAAAAGUCUAAACUACAACCUUGUUUGAUCCUUACGUGUCUUGACUAAAGUUUAAAUAAUUGAGAGAUGUCAUCUAUCACUCUUAUUAUUGGCUUUGGAGUUAUAGAAGGUGGUCAACUUUAAUUUUAUUCUAUGUCUUAUGAAAAAAUCAUGUGCUUCUAUUAUAUAAAGCUUACUUUGAUUUGCUCUGAUUCUUUCAAUGAUUCUAUAGCAAUAUAUAAUAUCCUCCAAAAUAAAUCAAUAUAUUAUCUCUAUAGACUUUGACAUCAAUUUCCUUCUUUUUAUAUAAUUGAAAGUUCAUCUUUUGCCAAAAUUAAGUACUUUGUGCCUCAAAGCUUCAUUUAUAUAAUAACUAAAUCAAUCAUCUAUUAAAAAUAAAUAGUAAGUAGAUAGGUAGGACAUAAAACAUCUUUAUACCUCAUCUUGGAUUACAAUUGGUACUCUAUACAAGAACUUAUAAACUCCUCUACAUCCUUGUAUAAAGUCCUUCUACCAAUAGCACUUUUUGAUCUUGAUGUACAUAGCUCAAACAC
rnacentral:lncRNA from 1 species